rnacentral:lncRNA from 1 species
CAAAGCUUGUAUGUACAUAUAGCAAAUUAAAUGCAUUAAUUGAAUAGAGUGUGUUUAGUGAAUUUACCAGAAUCGUCCAGAAAACAUGGGAAACAGCAAGUGUUCUUGCAGACUGCGUCGGAGGCACCCGCACGAAUACAAAGCUGACAACAUAGUUUUGCCUGGGCGGAUGCGCAGCAGCCGCACUCCGCCGCGGUGGGGUUAACAUUGAGGCUCAAGAUGACCAGGCACAUGAUCACCAUCAAAGUGGUAGUCCUCUUUCCCUCCAUUGCCUCCUCUUAGCUUGCUGCUACCUUCCUUGGUUACCUAGCUAAGUUUAUUGGUUUUGUGUUGAGAGGUGUGAUUUUUGAAUGGACGUUGCCGGCGGCAAUUUAUAGGCAGCUGAGCUAUGUGAUGAUAUGGACUAGGUGCAAAUGGGUGGUUAAUGGCAAGGAAAGGGGCGUCAGACAAAGCCCAAUGGCAACUGCUGACAUGCGAUUAAAUUCAGAUCCACAUCCGGCCAUUCAAUAAUACGGUUGGAGUUGUGGCACAGAUAUAUUAUUGCAUGAUCAUCAAGAUAAGAUCGUACAGUGACUGAGUGAGACAAUAAAUAGCCAAGUAAACUAUUUUAUCCUGCUGCAAGCUGCAUUCAUAAGUUUAUUUCACCUUUGAUCACAAUACUCUUCACACACGUACGUCUCAGGGAGAUCUCACUUCCGCUGGACUGCUCACUUCCGCUGUCGUCGGUACUGCCAAAGACAUAAGCUCACAUCUGCUAUUGCGGAGCAGGCCAAUUUGCUGCGGAACUUCGGCGACGACCUGAAGGACAUGAACUCGGUGCUGGAGUCCAUCUCAGCAGCGCUCUAGGACGCUGACACCGGUAGAAAAACGACCUUCCAUCGUCAACAAAAAUCCCGGUAGCUUUUUUACUCGGUACUAAAGAGGUUUUAAUCUCGUGCAAACACCUUUAGUCCAGAUUGCUAUUACCACGCAACCCGGACUAAAGCGUCCCCCGCGAGUUAGUAUAUAAGGAUUGCAUCCUUUACUCAGUCAGAUAUAAUAUGUAGGUGAGAUGGUAAGGAAGCUAUGCGUGAGGCUUCAGGUUGUGGGUUCGAAUCCAAGUGGGUGCAGCUGUGGCUUAAGCGGCUGAGGCACGCCGCCAUAGACAUCUCAGAUUUGCUCGAAGACUACCAAGACACUAGUGAACCCUUAACAGUAAAGGUGAGUACUUAUGAAUGUCAGCAUCCAUGUUGUCCAUGCUUCCAAUGUAAUAACAAGAUGGACUACUCUUCCUAGCGGACUCUUCACAACCACUCGUAAAGCUAUGCGUUUCUCAAUGCAAUUUCGUAGAAGCCAAUCGAUCCAACCAAGUGACUAAAUCAUUCGUCCUUUCCAAUGAUGUGCAUCAGGUUUUCUAUAUGAAGGGCAUGUCUAGCAAACCUAAGAUUUCAGAAGAAAAAGAAAAAUCAUUGGAGCCAAAGAGCCACAUAGUUCUUCUAGGAAAAAAAUCAUGGGAGUCGAGAACAUAUCAAACCAAUCAGGGGAUUAUGGUCAGCUUAAUGGCAUGCCUCCAUUCGAUGUCGAAGUUCACCCAAGCAUCAUGUUAGCCAAACAUCAAAUGUUCGUGCGUUGUUACGGUAAAGAUCAAUUGUGUUUUUUAAACUCUUGGAAUUUUUUUAUCUAAGUUUUUAUUUACACUUAUUGGAUGUCUACACAUUUGCUAGAAAACUAAAAUAAUUUGGACUUAAUUAUUUCUUUCAACUGAAGUACUCACUAAAUUUCUACCUUUUUAUUUAAGCAAGAGAGUUGCUAAAAAAAAUGGAUACGUAACCAUGUUGUAUCAUACAAAGUAACCACGUUUCACAUAUAGUCCGGCUUAGCAAACACCAUUGUUUUCUGAACAUAGCGUACAUGAGUUAACAGACAUGGAUUUAUUUCUAUUGCAAGUAGCAUAGCGUACAACCUGCCUGCACCGAUGCAGCUCAAUAUGCGAUAAUUUUUAUCUUCCCAUGUAAUUUUUCUACUCUAGUACAUAUUGAACUCCACAUUAAUGUCAUGUUCUUUCGCGCCCCAGAAGGUUCCUAAAGUUUGGAAACUUAAUAGAUAGCCAGAAUUUUUUUUAAAGAUAUUUAUAUGGAUACUUGUAUGUUCUUUCCAAACUAACAAUAUUGUUUACCAAUAUCAGAAGGAAUAUGGUUAGGAGCCAUUGCCGCAUAUGGCAGGUGAUGGUAGAUGGCGUAUGGGGUUUCGUUAAUUUAAUGGUAUAAUAAGCUGAAAUACAUUUUCUAUUUGCAAAUGAAUCAUAGCUGAAAUUGGUGGGAUUGUUUUUUCGCCGGUUUAGCAUCCUGUGCACCAGUUCAACCGGAGGGAAGCUGUUUUUUUUCUUUGGUUUUCCACCGGUUCACCGAGACCGAUGACAAUUUUAUGGCAGAAUCAUUACUUGUUUUACUAUUAGGUGAAGAUUUUAGCGUUUAGGUAUCUCACAUUAAACGCAACUUCAACAAUCUAUUUCUAGUGUAUAAUGUAGGAGACCCCGUAAAGAGUCUACACACACAUAUAUGUUGACUAUGAAUGUAAGUUUGUUGGUUUUAUGUAUGUUCGUUUGGAGUUUAUAUAAAUUUUACAUUUUAUAGUUUUGUGUAUAUGACGAAGAUCCAUGACUUGCAUUAAUUUAGCCUUUCUUCCAACAACUCUUAUGCAUGCUGUUUCUAGGCGAGCGUACUGGUUGCAAUUUUGGUCCCCGAUAUAGUGUGAGGACUUAAGGGACACGUGCAGGUCGUAACCUUAGAUAUUUUUGCUGAGAAUGGAUGAAGAAGCAAUAAUAUACUUUGCUUCUGAUUUUCUCCAUGUCAUUUGCUUACUCUUAUCCCUUUUAUUUAUCAUUAUAAGAUGAAAAUAUUGUAAAAACUUGGCUACGUGCGGUCGCAGAAGCUAGAGACUAAAGCGUCCCCCACGAGUUACUAUAUAAAAGGAUUGCAUCCUCUACUCAGUCAUAUGUACUGUGUAGGUGAGAUGGUAAGGAAGCUAUGUGUGAGGCUUGAGGUUGUAGGUUCGAAUCCCACGCACCGCGUGCGCAUGCGCAUAUUUUGCGUGAAAAAUCGCAUGACUUGUGGUCGGCCAAGGAGAAGUGCGUGCGGCUGAGGCACGCCGCCAUAGACAUCUCGGAUUUGCUCCAAGACUACCAAGACACUAGCGAACCCUUAACGGCAAAGUUGAGUACUUACGCGUGUUAGCAUCUAUGUUGUCCAUGCUUCCAAUGCAAUAACAAGAAGGGCUACUCAUCCUAGCGGAUUCUUCACAACCACUCGUAAAGCUAUGCGUUUCUCAAUGCAAUUUCGUAGAUGUCAAUCGAUCCAACCAAGCGACUGAAUCAUUCGUCCUUGCUAAUGAUGUGCAUCAGGUUUUCUAUAUGAAGAACAUGUCUAGCAAAUCCAAGAUUUCAGAAGAAAAAUAAAAAUCAUGAGAACCAAAGCACCACGUAGUUCUUCCAGGUAAAAAAAACAAUCAUCCACUGGGAUGACACACAGUAGCGAUCCAAAACGUCCAUAUUAAGACUUUUUGAUAGCAGAAAAAACAUGAAAAUGUCUAAUAUUUGUAGUAUUAAAAGGAAAAAUAAUAUAUUCACUUGACCUUUUUUUCGUAGCAACGCACCGGUGCGUAGUCAGACUUAGGCCACGUUUGGAUACUCCCUACUAAAGUUUAGCACCUGUCACAUAGGAUGUUUGGAUACUAAUUAGGAGUAUUAAACAUAGGCUAAUUAUAAAACUAAUUGAAUAGAUGGAGUCUAAUUUGCGAGACGAAUCUAUUAAGCCUAACUAGUCCAUGAUUUGACAAUGUGGUGCUACAGUAACCAUUUGCUAAUGGUGGAUUAAUUAGGCUUAAUAGAUUCGUCUCGCGAAUUAACAUAGGGUUCUGCAAUUAAUUUUAUAAUUAGCUCAUGUCUAGUCCUUCUAAUUAGCAUCCGAACAUCUGAUAUGAUACUGCUAAAGUUUAUCACCUAGUAUCCAAAUACCCCCUUAAUGCACGAUGCCUGUGCAUCCACUGGGCCUACCCUCGUGGAUCACGCGCUCGUGGAUCACGCGCACCAUGACAUGGCUCAUUAGCUAGUCGUGCUAAUCCUUACCACCAAAUUAAAAACUAGCAUGUGUUGUGUGUUUGUGACCCUAAACGACUACCACCUUCCCGAGUCCACCGGAGUUGCCAGUUCACCACUAAGCUGACUCUCCGAGCUUCAUGUCACUGUCACCGCUCCAAAGACCUAGAUCGGUUCGCUGUGCACCCCGCUUCGUCCUGAGCUAAAUCCCAUCACGAAAGGUGACCGGAUGCUCGUUUUCGAGCGAAUUCUAGCGAGAUUGCCACCACCUUUCCCCUUCCAGCCGAUCGCAGCUGUCUGAUCACAAACCGACAGCCCAGAUCGGAUUUGACCAGGUCAAUACCGGUCAAGCCGAGAUGCAUGCUGCUUUUGCAAGAAGGCCCCUAUUUUUCUCUCGUUUUGCACUUGAGGUCCUACGCAGUUCAAAAGUAAUUAGAUCUAGAUCCUUUUUCUUCUGUUUUAGCCCUGUUCUUUUAUAAAAUCCCACCCGCCAUCCUGUUUGGUAUUUUGACAUGUUAGACCUUCUAUUUAUAUGUUUAAUUAGGUUUUAGCCCUUGGUUUCUUUAAGUUUAGCUCUUGGAAGUUUAGUUUUCUCGCAGUUAAGCCCCUGAACCUUGUUUAGUUCAUAUCUUUAGCGUUUUAAAUCCGUUUUAAGAGAUUCUUACGCCCAUAAGUUCGUGUUGAUGCAUAGAUUAGUUGACUUAUACGGACCUUGCUGAUUCAGCUCCUUCAUUGUGCUUCAGAUCUCGCUAGUGAAGAAUAAUGGAUGGGCUUUGGUUGAGCUUGUAGAUCGACCUGCAGUUGCAGUGAAUGUGCUGAGGACUGGCGGUACCAAUAAUGGGAGGCCGCUGCUCUGCUUGCUACCAAGGCCUGCGACGCUUGGACGCCAUUCAGAGUGCAUAAUUUCCAAGGAUCUCAAGGGCUCCACACCACGUUCCAAGUGUUUUUUCUUUGCCGAGUGUUUUUAGCUCGGCACUUGGCAAAGAGCUUGUUUGCCGAGUGUCCGAAAAAAACACUUGGCAAAGAGAAAACACUCGGCAAAUUUGAUGUUUCCCGUAGUGAUGUACUAUUCAAACUUGAACUGGGAUGCAGGCUUCAGUACCAAAGAGAGCUCUGGGCGCGGGUGAGCAGUGAGCUGGCCGGGCAGGGAGCUCCAAAGCGACAGCAACAAAGAGAGAAAUGCUAAGAGUAAGAACGACACACGAGGUCACUUCACAUAGAUAAUAGCAGUACGAACCAUACAAUAUCCUCUCUCAGUUUCACUCCGCCUCACACACGGCUAGCACACCAUGCAUGCCGAUUUCAUAUUAUUAAUAUUAUUUUUUGGAUGGUUGUUGAAACUAUAUAUAUAGUUAGUCCAAUCUCACGUUUCCGAUUAUAAAAAUCAACGUAAAGAGAUCGGUAGGGAGAGCCGGCAUAAUGAAGCCGACGCGUGUAAUAAGCACCAGAGCCGGCAUUUAUACAAACUGGUACGAAUAGUAAAAAACUAGAAUUUAUAAAUAAAAAAAUGAUUUGCACAUCUAUGCAAUAAUUAGGGGUUAGUGGCAGGUCUAGAGAGAUAUCUCAUCAUUAUAUCCGGUUUAACGAGGAUAAAAAAGAGUGUAUUUUCCACUCAUCAUGUUGUCUUUUCGCAGCGGUACCACUUUUCGUGUGUUGUAUCGGUCCCCUAAUACGGAGUCUCCGAGGCCCGAGAAAAUAAGGAAAGUGAUAGUAGCCCAGAAAUCGGCCAAGUUUCUUUCCCCUUUGGCUUUCCUACUAGGAUUCAGAAUCCUCUUUCGCAUGACAAUCUUAAUUAUCUCCCAUACUCCAAAACUCACAAAAACAUCAAGAGUCCGCUGAGAAUAAAUUUAAGUAAAAAACAUGCACACACAGAUAAUAAUAAUAAUCAUGUUUCCAUAAAAUUGCUAAGUCCAGAGAUAAUACAUAAACAUAGUAGACUGUUCAUGACACAUAUCACGGUGGACAGUGUUUGUGUCCUUAUUACAAGCAACGAGAGAUGCUCGUCACCAACACGCGCGCGCACAGAUGCACGACAUACAUAUAGUAGAGACCAACAGAUGGUCGUCCCAUAUGGUGAACAAUUUAUUGGAGAUAAAUAUUAACGUAACUUGGCCAUAGCUUGAAGCAUAGCAACAUAUGCCUAUGAGUGGCAUUCAUGCUAUCGUUUUAGGCUUGUCCAGCUCCUUCCAUCUUAGCAAGCACUUCCAUUUCUACCAUCUUAGCAGCAACUGUCAAAUUGAGAUACGGAAAUCCCAUUAGCGCAUGAGUUAAUUUUGCAGUGGAAAUAGAGUACAAGAUGUCUUCAUGAUGUAAGUAAUAUGCCUGAAGUUGUGAGAUGGGAAGUGAAGUCAACAAAUUACAUUAACGGAAAUGCAUGGAAGGCCACACAUACGUAUUAGUCCAUGAUAUGCUACAAAGCUUGUAUGUACAUAUAGCAAAUUAAAUGCAUUAAUUGAAUAGAGUGUGUUUAGUGAAUUUACCAGAAUCGUCCAGAAAACAUGGGAAACAGCAAGUGUUCUUGCAGACUGCGUCGGAGGCACCCGCACGAAUACAAAGCUGACAACAUAGUUUUGCCUGGGCGGAUGCGCAGCAGCCGCACUCCGCCGCGGUGGGGUUAACAUUGAGGCUCAAGAUGACCAGGCACAUGAUCACCAUCAAAGUGGUAGUCCUCUUUCCCUCCAUUGCCUCCUCUUAGCUUGCUGCUACCUUCCUUGGUUACCUAGCUAAGUUUAUUGGUUUUGUGUUGAGAGGUGUGAUUCUUGAAUGGACGUUGCCGGCGGCAAUUUAUAGGCAGCUGAGCUAUGUGAUGAUAUGGACUAGGUGCAAAUGGGUGGUUAAUGGCAAGGAAAGGGGCGUCAGACAAAGCCCAAUGGCAACUGCUGACAUGCGAUUAAAUUCAGAUCCACAUCCGGCCAUUCAAUAAUACGGUUGGAGUUGUGGCACAGAUAUAUUAUUGCAUGAUCAUCAAGAUAAGAUCGUACAGUGACUGAGUGAGACAAUAAAUAGCCAAGUAAACUAUUUUAUCCUGCUGCAAGCUGCAUUCAUAAGUUUAUUUCACCUUUGAUCACAAUACUCUUCACACACGUACGUCUCAGGGAGAUCUCACUUCCGCUGGACUGCUCACUUCCGCUGUCGUCGGUACUGCCAAAGACAUAAGCUCACAUCUGCUAUUGCGGAGCAGGCCAAUUUGCUGCGGAACUUCGGCGACGACCUGAAGGACAUGAACUCGGUGCUGGAGUCCAUCUCAGCAGCGCUCUAGGACGCUGACACCGGUAGAAAAACGACCUUCCAUCGUCAACAAAAAUCCCGGUAGCUUUUUUACUCGGUACUAAAGAGGUUUUAAUCUCGUGCAAACACCUUUAGUCCAGAUUGCUAUUACCACGCAACCCGGACUAAAGCGUCCCCCGCGAGUUAGUAUAUAAGGAUUGCAUCCUUUACUCAGUCAGAUAUAAUAUGUAGGUGAGAUGGUAAGGAAGCUAUGCGUGAGGCUUCAGGUUGUGGGUUCGAAUCCAAGUGGGUGCAGCUGUGGCUUAAGCGGCUGAGGCACGCCGCCAUAGACAUCUCAGAUUUGCUCGAAGACUACCAAGACACUAGUGAACCCUUAACAGUAAAGGUGAGUACUUAUGAAUGUCAGCAUCCAUGUUGUCCAUGCUUCCAAUGUAAUAACAAGAUGGACUACUCUUCCUAGCGGACUCUUCACAACCACUCGUAAAGCUAUGCGUUUCUCAAUGCAAUUUCGUAGAAGCCAAUCGAUCCAACCAAGUGACUAAAUCAUUCGUCCUUUCCAAUGAUGUGCAUCAGGUUUUCUAUAUGAAGGGCAUGUCUAGCAAACCUAAGAUUUCAGAAGAAAAAGAAAAAUCAUUGGAGCCAAAGAGCCACAUAGUUCUUCUAGGAAAAAAAUCAUGGGAGUCGAGAACAUAUCAAACCAAUCAGGGGAUUAUGGUCAGCUUAAUGGCAUGCCUCCAUUCGAUGUCGAAGUUCACCCAAGCAUCAUGUUAGCCAAACAUCAAAUGUUCGUGCGUUGUUACGGUAAAGAUCAAUUGUGUUUUUUAAACUCUUGGAAUUUUUUUAUCUAAGUUUUUAUUUACACUUAUUGGAUGUCUACACAUUUGCUAGAAAACUAAAAUAAUUUGGACUUAAUUAUUUCUUUCAACUGAAGUACUCACUAAAUUUCUACCUUUUUAUUUAAGCAAGAGAGUUGCUAAAAAAAAUGGAUACGUAACCAUGUUGUAUCAUACAAAGUAACCACGUUUCACAUAUAGUCCGGCUUAGCAAACACCAUUGUUUUCUGAACAUAGCGUACAUGAGUUAACAGACAUGGAUUUAUUUCUAUUGCAAGUAGCAUAGCGUACAACCUGCCUGCACCGAUGCAGCUCAAUAUGCGAUAAUUUUUAUCUUCCCAUGUAAUUUUUCUACUCUAGUACAUAUUGAACUCCACAUUAAUGUCAUGUUCUUUCGCGCCCCAGAAGGUUCCUAAAGUUUGGAAACUUAAUAGAUAGCCAGAAUUUUUUUUAAAGAUAUUUAUAUGGAUACUUGUAUGUUCUUUCCAAACUAACAAUAUUGUUUACCAAUAUCAGAAGGAAUAUGGUUAGGAGCCAUUGCCGCAUAUGGCAGGUGAUGGUAGAUGGCGUAUGGGGUUUCGUUAAUUUAAUGGUAUAAUAAGCUGAAAUACAUUUUCUAUUUGCAAAUGAAUCAUAGCUGAAAUUGGUGGGAUUGUUUUUUCGCCGGUUUAGCAUCCUGUGCACCAGUUCAACCGGAGGGAAGCUGUUUUUUUUCUUUGGUUUUCCACCGGUUCACCGAGACCGAUGACAAUUUUAUGGCAGAAUCAUUACUUGUUUUACUAUUAGGUGAAGAUUUUAGCGUUUAGGUAUCUCACAUUAAACGCAACUUCAACAAUCUAUUUCUAGUGUAUAAUGUAGGAGACCCCGUAAAGAGUCUACACACACAUAUAUGUUGACUAUGAAUGUAAGUUUGUUGGUUUUAUGUAUGUUCGUUUGGAGUUUAUAUAAAUUUUACAUUUUAUAGUUUUGUGUAUAUGACGAAGAUCCAUGACUUGCAUUAAUUUAGCCUUUCUUCCAACAACUCUUAUGCAUGAUGUUUCUAGGCGAGCGUACUGGUUGCAAUUUUGGUCCCCGAUAUAGUGUGAGGACUUAAGGGACACGUGCAGGUCGUAACCUUAGAUAUUUUUGCUGAGAAUGGAUGAAGAAGCAAUAAUAUACUUUGCUUCUGAUUUUCUCCAUGUCAUUUGCUUACUCUUAUCCCUUUUAUUUAUCAUUAUAAGAUGAAAAUAUUGUAAAAACUUGGCUACGUGCGGUCGCAGAAGCUAGAGACUAAAGCGUCCCCCACGAGUUACUAUAUAAAAGGAUUGCAUCCUCUACUCAGUCAUAUGUACUGUGUAGGUGAGAUGGUAAGGAAGCUAUGUGUGAGGCUUGAGGUUGUAGGUUCGAAUCCCACGCACCGCGUGCGCAUGCGCAUAUUUUGCGUGAAAAAUCGCAUGACUUGUGGUCGGCCAAGGAGAAGUGCGUGCGGCUGAGGCACGCCGCCAUAGACAUCUCGGAUUUGCUCCAAGACUACCAAGACACUAGCGAACCCUUAACGGCAAAGUUGAGUACUUACGCGUGUUAGCAUCUAUGUUGUCCAUGCUUCCAAUGCAAUAACAAGAAGGGCUACUCAUCCUAGCGGAUUCUUCACAACCACUCGUAAAGCUAUGCGUUUCUCAAUGCAAUUUCGUAGAUGUCAAUCGAUCCAACCAAGCGACUGAAUCAUUCGUCCUUGCUAAUGAUGUGCAUCAGGUUUUCUAUAUGAAGAACAUGUCUAGCAAAUCCAAGAUUUCAGAAGAAAAAUAAAAAUCAUGAGAACCAAAGCACCACGUAGUUCUUCCAGGUAAAAAAAACAAUCAUCCACUGGGAUGACACACAGUAGCGAUCCAAAACGUCCAUAUUAAGACUUUUUGAUAGCAGAAAAAACAUGAAAAUGUCUAAUAUUUGUAGUAUUAAAAGGAAAAAUAAUAUAUUCACUUGACCUUUUUUUCGUAGCAACGCACCGGUGCGUAGUCAGACUUAGGCCACGUUUGGAUACUCCCUACUAAAGUUUAGCACCUGUCACAUAGGAUGUUUGGAUACUAAUUAGGAGUAUUAAACAUAGGCUAAUUAUAAAACUAAUUGAACAGAUGGAGUCUAAUUUGCGAGACGAAUCUAUUAAGCCUAACUAGUCCAUGAUUUGACAAUGUGGUGCUACAGUAACCAUUUGCUAAUGGUGGAUUAAUUAGGCUUAAUAGAUUCGUCUCGCGAAUUAACAUAGGGUUCUGCAAUUAAUUUUAUAAUUAGCUCAUGUCUAGUCCUUCUAAUUAGCAUCCGAACAUCUGAUAUGAUACUGCUAAAGUUUAUCACCUAGUAUCCAAAUACCCCCUUAAUGCACGAUGCCUGUGCAUCCACUGGGCCUACCCUCGUGGAUCACGCGCUCGUGGAUCACGCGCACCAUGACAUGGCUCAUUAGCUAGUCGUGCUAAUCCUUACCACCAAAUUAAAAACUAGCAUGUGUUGUGUGUUUGUGACCCUAAACGACUACCACCUUCCCGAGUCCACCGGAGUUGCCAGUUCACCACUAAGCUGACUCUCCGAGCUUCAUGUCACUGUCACCGCUCCAAAGACCUAGAUCGGUUCGCUGUGCACCCCGCUUCGUCCUGAGCUAAAUCCCAUCACGAAAGGUGACCGGAUGCUCGUUUUCGAGCGAAUUCUAGCGAGAUUGCCACCACCUUUCCCCUUCCAGCCGAUCGCAGCUGUCUGAUCACAAACCGACAGCCCAGAUCGGAUUUGACCAGGUCAAUACCGGUCAAGCCGAGAUGCAUGCUGCUUUUGCAAGAAGGCCCCUAUUUUUCUCUCUUUUUGCACUUGAGGUCCUACGCAGUUCAAAAGUAAUUAGAUCUAGAUCCUUUUUCUUCUGUUUUAGCCCUGUUCUUUUAUAAAAUCCCACCCGCCAUCCUGUUUGGUAUUUUGACAUGUUAGACCUUCUAUUUAUAUGUUUAAUUAGGUUUUAGCCCUUGGUUUCUUUAAGUUUAGCUCUUGGAAGUUUAGUUUUCUCGCAGUUAAGCCCCUGAACCUUGUUUAGUUCAUAUCUUUAGCGUUUUAAAUCCGUUUUAAGAGAUUCUUACGCCCAUAAGUUCGUGUUGAUGCAUAGAUUAGUUGACUUAUACGGACCUUGCUGAUUCAGCUCCUUCAUUGUGCUUCAGAUCUCGCUAGUGAAGAAUAAUGGAUGGGCUUUGGUUGAGCUUGUAGAUCGACCUGCAGUUGCAGUGAAUGUGCUGAGGACUGGCGGUACCAAUAAUGGGAGGCCGCUGCUCUGCUUGCUACCAAGGCCUGCGACGCUUGGACGCCAUUCAGAGUGCAUAAUUUCCAAGGAUCUCAAGGGCUCCACACCACGUUCCAAGUGUUUUUUCUUUGCCGAGUGUUUUUAGCUCGGCACUUGGCAAAGAGCUUGUUUGCCGAGUGUCCGAAAAAAACACUUGGCAAAGAGAAAACACUCGGCAAAUUUGAUGUUUCCCGUAGUGAUGUACUAUUCAAACUUGAACUGGGAUGCAGGCUUCAGUACCAAAGAGAGCUCUGGGCGCGGGUGAGCAGUGAGCUGGCCGGGCAGGGAGCUCCAAAGCGACAGCAACAAAGAGAGAAAUGCUAAGAGUAAGAACGACACACGAGGUCACUUCACAUAGAUAAUAGCAGUACGAACCAUACAAUAUCCUCUCUCAGUUUCACUCCGCCUCACACACGGCUAGCACACCAUGCAUGCCGAUUUCAUAUUAUUAAUAUUAUUUUUUGGAUGGUUGUUGAAACUAUAUAUAUAGUUAGUCCAAUCUCACGUUUCCGAUUAUAAAAAUCAACGUAAAGAGAUCGGUAGGGAGAGCCGGCAUAAUGAAGCCGACGCGUGUAAUAAGCACCAGAGCCGGCAUUUAUACAAACUGGUACGAAUAGUAAAAAACUAGAAUUUAUAAAUAAAAAAAUGAUUUGCACAUCUAUGCAAUAAUUAGGGGUUAGUGGCAGGUCUAGAGAGAUAUCUCAUCAUUAUAUCCGGUUUAACGAGGAUAAAAAAGAGUGUAUUUUCCACUCAUCAUGUUGUCUUUUCGCAGCGGUACCACUUUUCGUGUGUUGUAUCGGUCCCCUAAUACGGAGUCUCCGAGGCCCGAGAAAAUAAGGAAAGUGAUAGUAGCCCAGAAAUCGGCCAAGUUUCUUUCCCCUUUGGCUUUCCUACUAGGAUUCAGAAUCCUCUUUCGCAUGACAAUCUUAAUUAUCUCCCAUACUCCAAAACUCACAAAAACAUCAAGAGUCCGCUGAGAAUAAAUUUAAGUAAAAAACAUGCACACACAGAUAAUAAUAAUAAUCAUGUUUCCAUAAAAUUGCUAAGUCCAGAGAUAAUACAUAAACAUAGUAGACUGUUCAUGACACAUAUCACGGUGGACAGUGUUUGUGUCCUUAUUACAAGCAACGAGAGAUGCUCGUCACCAACACGCGCGCGCACAGAUGCACGACAUACAUAUAGUAGAGACCAACAGAUGGUCGUCCCAUAUGGUGAACAAUUUAUUGGAGAUAAAUAUUAACGUAACUUGGCCAUAGCUUGAAGCAUAGCAACAUAUGCCUAUGAGUGGCAUUCAUGCUAUCGUUUUAGGCUUGUCCAGCUCCUUCCAUCUUAGCAAGCACUUCCAUUUCUACCAUCUUAGCAGCAACUGUCAAAUUGAGAUACGGAAAUCCCAUUAGCGCAUGAGUUAAUUUUGCAGUGGAAAUAGAGUACAAGAUGUCUUCAUGAUGUAAGUAAUAUGCCUGAAGUUGUGAGAUGGGAAGUGAAGUCAACAAAUUACAUUAACGGAAAUGCAUGGAAGGCCACACAUACGUAUUAGUCCAUGAUAUGCUACAAAGCUUGUAUGUACAUAUAGCAAAUUAAAUGCAUUAAUUGAAUAGAGUGUGUUUAGUGAAUUUACCAGAAUCGUCCAGAAAACAUGGGAAACAGCAAGUGUUCUUGCAGACUGCGUCGGAGGCACCCGCACGAAUACAAAGCUGACAACAUAGUUUUGCCUGGGCGGAUGCGCAGCAGCCGCACUCCGCCGCGGUGGGGUUAACAUUGAGGCUCAAGAUGACCAGGCACAUGAUCACCAUCAAAGUGGUAGUCCUCUUUCCCUCCAUUGCCUCCUCUUAGCUUGCUGCUACCUUCCUUGGUUACCUAGCUAAGUUUAUUGGUUUUGUGUUGAGAGGUGUGAUUCUUGAAUGGACGUUGCCGGCGGCAAUUUAUAGGCAGCUGAGCUAUGUGAUGAUAUGGACUAGGUGCAAAUGGGUGGUUAAUGGCAAGGAAAGGGGCGUCAGACAAAGCCCAAUGGCAACUGCUGACAUGCGAUUAAAUUCAGAUCCACAUCCGGCCAUUCAAUAAUACGGUUGGAGUUGUGGCACAGAUAUAUUAUUGCAUGAUCAUCAAGAUAAGAUCGUACAGUGACUGAGUGAGACAAUAAAUAGCCAAGUAAACUAUUUUAUCCUGCUGCAAGCUGCAUUCAUAAGUUUAUUUCACCUUUGAUCACAAUACUCUUCACACACGUACGUCUCAGGGAGAUCUCACUUCCGCUGGACUGCUCACUUCCGCUGUCGUCGGUACUGCCAAAGACAUAAGCUCACAUCUGCUAUUGCGGAGCAGGCCAAUUUGCUGCGGAACUUCGGCGACGACCUGAAGGACAUGAACUCGGUGCUGGAGUCCAUCUCAGCAGCGCUCUAGGACGCUGACACCGGUAGAAAAACGACCUUCCAUCGUCAACAAAAAUCCCGGUAGCUUUUUUACUCGGUACUAAAGAGGUUUUAAUCUCGUGCAAACACCUUUAGUCCGGAUUGCUGUUACCACGCAACCCGAACUAAAGCGUCCCCCACGAGUUACUAUAUAAGGAUUGCAUCCUUUACUCAGUCAGAUAUAAUGUGUAGGUGAGAUGGUAAGGAAGCUAUACGUGAGGCUUCAGGUUGUGGGUUCGAAUCCAAGGAGAAGUGGGUGCAGCUGUGGCUUAAGCGGCUGAGGCACGCCGCCAUAGACAUCUCAGAUUUGCUCGAAGACUACCAAGACACUAGUGAACCCUUAACAGUAAAGGUGAGUACUUAUGAAUGUCAGCAUCCAUGUUGUCCAUGCUUCCAAUGUAAUAACAAGAUGGACUACUCUUCCUAGCGGACUCUUCACAACCACUCGUAAAGCUAUACGUUUCUCAAUGCAAUUUCGUAGAAGCCAAUCGAUCCAACCAAGUGACUAAAUCAUUCAUCCUUUCCAAUGAUGUGCAUCAGGUUUUCUACAUGAAGGGCAUCUCUAGCAAACCCAAGAUUUCAGAAGAAAAAGAAAAAUCAUUGGAGCCAAAGAGCCACAUAGUUCUUCCAGGAAAAAAAAAUCAUGGGAGUCGAGAACAAAUCAAACCAAUCAGAGGAUUAUGGUCAGCUUAAUGGCAUGCCUCCAUUCGAUGUCGAAGUUCACCCAAGCAUCAUGUUAGCCAAACAUCAAAUGUUCGUGCGUUGUUACGGUAAAGAUCAAUUGUGUUUUUUAAACUCAUGGAAUUUUUUUUCUAAGUUUUUAUUACACUUAUUGGAUGUCUACACAUUUGCUAGAAAACCAAAAUAAUUUGGACUUAAUUAUUUCUUUCAACUGAAGUACUCACUAAAUUUCUACCUUUUUAUUUAAGCAAGAGAGUUGCUAAAAAAAAUGGAUACAUAACCAUGUUGUAUCGUACAAAGCAACCACAUUUCACAUAUAGUCCGGCUUACCAAACACCAUUUUUUACUGAACAUAGCGUACAUGAGUUAAGAGACAUGGAUUUAUUUCUAUUGCAAGUAGCAUAGCGUACAACCUGCCUGCACCGAUGCAGCUCAAUAUGCGAUAAUUUUUAUCUUCCCAUGUAAUUUUUCUACUCUAGUACAUAUUGAACUCCACAUUAAUGUCAUGUUCUUUGGCGCCCCAGACGGUUCCUAAAGUUUGGAAACAAAAUAGAUAGCCAGAAAUUUUUUUAAAAAAUAUUUAUAUGGAUAUUUGUAUGUUCUUUGCAAACUAACAAUAUUGUUUACCAAUAUCAAAAGGAAUAUGGCUAGGAGCCAUUGCCGCAUAUGGCAGGUGAUGGUAGAUGGCGUAUGGGAUUUCGUUAAUUUAAUGGUAUAAUAAGCUGAAAUACAUUUUCUAUUUGCAAAUGAAUCAUAGCUGAAAGUGGUGAGAUUGUUUUUUCGCCGGUUUAGCAUCCUGUGCACCGGUUCAACUGGAGGGAAGCGGUUCACCGAGACGGAUGACAAUUUUACGGCAGAAUCAUUACUUGUUUUAUUAUUAGGUGAAGAUUUUAGCUUUUAGGUAUCUCACAUUAACAAUCUGUUUCUAGUGUAUAAUGUAGGAGACCCGUAAAGAGUCUACACACACAUAUAUAUGUUGACUAUGAAUGUAAGUUUGUUGGUUUUAUGUAUGUUCAUUUGGAGUUUAUAUAAAUUUUACAUUUUAUAGUUUUGUGUAUAUGACGAAGAUCCAUGACUUGCAUUAAUUUAACCUUUCUUCCAACAACUCUUAUGCAUGCUGUUUCUAGGGGAGCGCACUGGUUGCAAUUUUGGUCCCCGAUAUAGCAUGAGGACUUAAGGGAGACGGGCACGUCGUAACCUUAGAUAUUUUUGCAAGAAGCAAAUUAUACUUUGCUUUUGAUUUUCUCCAUGCCAUUUGCUGACUCUUAUCCCUUUUAUUUAUCAUUAUAAGAUGAAAAUAUUGUAAAAACUUGGUUACGUGCGGUCGCAGAAGCUAGAGACUAUUUCUUUUUUUAAAAAUACGCAAGAGGGAGAAACUUGGUAACAGCUAGACAGUGAAGAUCGCAUUUCAUAAGAAAGAUGGUGCACGUUCUUGUUUGGCUGUUAACGAAAUGACUUCGUUUCACCACACCACCAGAGAGCCCCAUUGCACUUGCAGCAAAAGCGUGGAGCCGCUUUCAACCAGCGUGCAAUAAUGCAGUCCCGCGUGUCUUGGUCUUACAGGAUAUUUGGUUCUUUAGUCCGGACUAAAAUUCAUGUCGCAUAGAAUAUUCAGAUGUUAAAUAGGAGGACUAAACAUGAGCUAAUUAUAAAAAUAAUUACACAAAUGGAGGCUAAUUCCCAAGACAAAUCUAUUAAGUCUAAUUAAUCCAUCAUUAGCACAUGUUUACCGUAGCACCGUAUUGUCAAAUCAUGGACUAAUUAGGCUUAAUAAAUUCGUCUCGCAAGUUAGUCUCCAUCUAUACAAUUUGUUUUAUAAUUAGUCAAUGUUUAAUACUCUAUCUAAACAUUCAAUGUGACUGAAAUUUUAGGAGGUCCUAAAGAACCAAACACCCCUUAGUCUCCGCCUGAACUAUAGCAGGUGCUGGCAGCGGUAGCAGGGUCGUCCAUUAUAUCUAUGGAUGGAAAUGAUCUGAUUCGGAUGGAAUCGAAUUCGAAUAGCACUUUUUACCACAUACUAAUCUGAAUUGGAUGUUCUCGAAUGUGAAUGCAAAACGGAUAGUUCAAAUUUGAAUACUUUGCGGAUUUUUGCAUAAUAUUAAUCGAAGAGAAUUUGUUAAAUUUAGCCGAGACAUAAAUUUUUCUAAAUUCAAAUACUUUGCAGAUUUUCGAAUGCAAAUUUUUUCAUACGAUCUCGGUUGAAUACAAACUUUAUAUCAAAGUUGUAUAUUUAGAUUAUAUAUAAAACUUUGUAGUUGACCUCCUUUUCAUUUAAAAUUUUUUAAUAGCUCAAAACAUUAUUCUAAGCUUUCUAAUUUCAAAAUCUUGAAUUUUAAAUUUUUCAAACGACCUCGGAUGCAAACAAGCUCUAUAUCAAAGUGCUUAAUGAGAUAUAAAAUUUUGUAGUUGACAAGUUUUUUAGUUGAAAACAUUUAGUUAUCACAAACAUACAAGUUCUUCAUUUGAUGUCGAGGAUUGGAAGUGUUGAGUUUGAAGAAUAUAUUCUUUGAUUACAAACUUUUCCAUAUGAUCUUGGAUGAAUACGAACUUUAUUUCAAAGUUGCAAAUUUAGAUUAGACCAAAAACAGUAUAGUUUACAAUUUUUUCAUUCAAAAUUAUUUAGUAGCUCAAAAUGUUAUUCUAAACUCUCUAAUUUUGAAAUCUUGAAUUUUAAAAUUUUCAAAUGACCUCGGAUGCAAACAAGCUCUAUAUCGAAGUGGUAGUUCUUAAUGAGAUAUAAAAUUUUGUAGUUCCAUCUGAGAUCAUUUAACAGUCACAAAUAUACAAGUUUUUCAUAUGAUGCUAAGGAUCAGAAAGAUUAAGUUUGAAGGCUGUAUUUUUUUAAUACAAAUUUUUGCAUACGAUCUCGGAUGAAUACAAACUUUAUAUCAAAAUUGUAGAGCUCGAUGAGAAUUUAAACUUUGUAGUUGAUAUAUUUUUCAUUCGAGAAUGUUUAGUGGUCCAAACAUGUAUUAUAAGUUCAGAGAAGAAACACACAAUCGGCCACGUCAUCAAUUGACAACUUCCAAACUGAGCAUUCCUAUUGGUUCACACCUUUCCCUUUCAACUCGUCAAGCUUAUCUCCUCCCACUCCUCCAUCGUUCACUCCCCCUUCCCCUUCCUCUCUCCCUCCCUCCCUCCGCUCCAGCAGUGGCAGCCCGACCUGCCUCCUAGGACGGUGGUGUGCGGGGCUCGGGCAUCCCUGGCCUCUAGUGGCGUGGCAGGGCGGCCUCCAGCAGCGAUGGCGGAACUCGGCCUCCGGUGGCGCACAGGCAGCGCAGCCUACCUGGUCAAAGGCGGCGCAACAGGGCGACCUCCCCAGCCUCCGGCGGCGCGCAGGGCAUCCAUGACCUCCCCGGCCUCCCUUGCCAGAGGUGGUGCGCGGGGCUGCGCCGACCUCCCCAACCAGAGGUGGCAAGGCCCCAGCUUACGGCGGCGCGUGGCUCCCCAGCUAGGGUGUGGUGGGGCGGCGGCAAGUCAGGCGUGGCCGCGUGGGGGUGGGGGGAGGGGGUUGGGCUGGGCGGAUUCAGAUAGUAUCCAUUUAACCAUCCGAAAUGUGGAUAUCCGUUUAACAAUCCGUUUAGCAAAACCGAAUUUGGAUACUUCCACUUAAGUAUCCAACUAGGAUUCGAAUGCGGAUGGUCCUACCAUAUUGUUAUUUCAGCGGAUACGAAUAUGGGAUAAUUCGAAUAACGACUUACCCAUCCCUGAUUAUAUCCGUGUAAAUAAAUAAUUGCGGCAGCAGGUUCCCGUCGCCACGCCCCCGUCAAACCAAACAAUUGCUUGCGCGACACCGUGUUACUAGAUCUUGUACAGUACUCCCUCCGUUGCAGUACUCCCUAAUGAAAGUUGAGAAUCGAUCGACAACCACGGCUAGUUGCUAUGCACUCGAUCAGAUGGUCCAGGCGCCCGCUGGUAAUCAGGUCGUGGUUCACGCGCAUCAGGCCAGCUAUGACGUUGCCAGCAGUGCUCAGUACACAAAUCUAGCUAUCAGUCGGAUCCAAUUGGGCAGGCAUUUGCACUGUGGUUGUGUUUGAACCUGUAGAUGUCGUUGUCAUUAUCAGGCACCAUACAUCCUCUCUCAGAGGGUGUUUCACCCCCUAAACUUUAGCCCCUCUCACAUCGAAUGUUUUAGAUACUAAUUAGGAAUAUUAAACAUAGAAAAUUUACUAAACCCAUUACAUGGAUGGAGGGUAAACGGCGAGACAAAUCUAUUAAAUCUAAUUAGUCCAUGAUUUGACAAUGUGCUGCUAUAGUAACUAUUUGCUAAUGAUGGAUUAAUUAGACUUAAUAGAUUUUUCUUGCUGUUUAGCCUCCGUCUGUGCAAUUAGUUUUAUAAUUAAUUCAUAUUUAGUCCUCCUAAUUAGUCUCCGAAUAUUUGAUGUGACACGGACUAAACUUUAGAUAGCACACCAGGGACCGACACCAUGCAUGCUGAUUUCAUAUCAUAAUUAAGGAAAGUGAUAUCAUAAUUAAGGAAAGUGGUAGCAUCCAAGAAAUCGAUCAUGUUUCUUCCCCCUUUGGCUUUCCUACUAGGAUUUGGAUAGCGGGCCUUCCUACUAGGAUUUGGAAUCCGCUAUCGCAUGACUAUCUUAAUUAUGUCCCAUAGUCCAAAACUCACAAAACAUCAAAAAUCCAUCGAGAAUAAAUUAAGUAAAAAACAUGCGCACACAGAUAAUAAUAAUAAUAAUCAUGUUUCAAUAAAAUUGCUAAGAUUAGAGAUAGUACAUAAACAUAUUAGAUUGUUCGUGACACAUAUCAUGGUGGAUAGUGUCUGUGUCCUUAUUACAAGCAGCGAUAGAUGCUUGUCACCACACACACGCACGCACAGAUGCACGACAUACAUAUAGUUGAGACCAACGGAUGGACGUCCCAUAGGGUGAAUAAUUUAUUGGAGAUAAAUAUUAACAUAACUUGGCCAUAGCUUGAAGCAUAGCAACAUAUGCUUAUGAAUGGCAUUCAUGCGGGUAGCAAUGCUAUCAUAUGCUUUUAGGCUUGUCCUUAGCUUCUUCCAUCUUAUAGCAAACACUGCCAUUUCUUCCAUCUUAGCAGCAACUGUCAAAUUAAUUGAGAUAUGGAAAUCCCAUUAGCGCAUGAGUUAAUUUUGCAGUGGAAAUAGAGUAGAAGAUGUCUUCAUAAUGUAAGUAAUAUGACUCUGACAUAGGGAGUGAAGUCAACAAAUUACAUUAACGGAAAUGCAUGGAAGGCCACGCAUAUGUAUUAGUCCGAUAUGCUACAAAGCUUGUAUGUACAUAUAAUAAAUUAAAUGCAUUGAAUAGAGUGAUUUUAGUGAAUUUACCUAAAUCGGAUUAAAAAACAUGGGAAACAACAAGUGUUCUUGUAGGGCUUUGUUUAGUUCCCAAAUUGGGAGUAGCAAAGUUUGCAUUUUACCAUAAAUGCGCAACUAUAGCAUGUAGCAUUUUGUUUGUAUUUGUGAAUUAUUAUCCAAACAUUGACUAAUUAGGCUCAAAAGAUUCAUCUCGCAAAGUACAACAAAACUGUGCAAUUAGUUUUUGAUUUCGUCUACAUUUAGUACUCCGUGCAUGUACCGCAAGUUUGAUGUGAUGGGGAAUCUUGCUUUUCAAUAGUGACAAAGUUGGGAUUUCGGGGGGAAGGCCUGUGUCGGAGCCACAUGCAAGAAUGGCUGACAUUGAGGCUCAGACAAAGCCCAAUGGCAACUGCUGACAUGCGAUUAAAUUUAGAUAUCCACAUCCAGCCAUUCACAUUUAUGAGAUAUGGACACGGUGCAAAUGGGUGGGGUCCUGAUAUGGAGGUGCGAAUGGCUGUCUACUUGUAUAGUGUAGCUCCAAUGUACGUAUAUGUAUCUUAUGCAUGUAUACAGUUGCACAAACUCUGAACCAACUCUUCAUAACAGGUCUUUGUUACCAAGUAACUUUACUUUUGCACGUUUCAGCCGAGAGGUAGAAGAGAAUAUUUUUGCAUUUUCCAUGUGCGUCAGUGGUAGAGAACUAGGAAUUAGUUCCGGAUGGUAGGGCACAAAUCUUCCAAACAACUAUCCGAAAUUAAGCAAUCGAGAUAAAGGGUGCCAUCUAUUCUCUCCGAAAAACACAGGUACCAAAAAGAAGAAGAGAAGAGGGAGGGCCUCCCGUUAAGGCCCGCUCGGGGUCUCCAUCCCACCACGCGCCCUCCCAACCCAAAGCCCAUCGUUUUCCCUCCGUCCCUCCCCUCUCCAUUGCCGCCGCCGCUCCCCUCAUCCGAGCUCGAUACGGGUGGUCGGCGGCCCCUCCUCUCCGCUCCCGCCCCCGGCCUCCCUUUGACCGCCGGGCGCCGGCAUCACUGCCGCGGCCAACCCCAGGGCGCAGCGCGUGCCUCUAUUUCUCUCCCCCGUUCAAGGGCCCUUUGAUGGCGACGAGCACCCACCCACCAGGUAUGCCCUCCCCUUCUCUUCCUAACCCUAAUAUAUUCGGAUCUCACCCAGUCACAAUAUAUUACCUAAUAGCUUCGAUUUUGUUUGCAAAAAUCAUCACGUGCGCACCCAUGUCCGCUAGAUUCUUGCGCCUGAUCCUGUGCUGCUAUGGUUUGGGCGGGGUAGACUAGUUGAUUCGUGCACUUUUGGGUGCUUGUAGUGCUAGGUUUUGGAGGGGGAUAGCCCAGUUGAUUCCUCCGUUUUGGGUGCUCAUGGUGAUAGGAUUUGGAUGGGGAUAGCCCCAAUGAUUCGUGCGCCUUUGGGUGCUGGGGAUAGUUUUGGGUGCCUGGAUAGUCCAGUUUCAAUGUCAGUAUAUGCGUAUUUUGGGGAGAAUUUUGUUUUGGGUGGUUCUGGUGCUAGAGUUUCUGAUGCUUAGUAGCCCAGUUUCAAUCAAAUUCCCCCAUGGGUCGUGCACUACGGGAAACAAGAAAAUUGCCGAGUGUAUUUUUUUUGUCGAGUGUUUUUUUUCGAGCACUCAGCAAACAAGCUCUUCGCCGAGUGCCAAGUCAAAAACACUCGGCAAAAAAAAACACUCGGCAAAUCGGGGCUUUGCCGAGUGUCAAAUAAAAAACACUCGGCAAAGAAGGGGGUUUGCCGAGUGUUAAAAAAAACACUCGGCAAACAGGAGGGUUUGCCUAGUGUUUUUUUGACACUCGGCAAAAAAAUAAUUGUUUUUCCUCUUUUCACCUUGAAAUUUUUUCUACUCCCCACAUACAACACGUGGUACUCCAUGUUAAAAUUUGGUAUAUUUUUGGAUUUAUUUGCUAUAUUUAUUUAAUUAAUUGCAUUACAAGGAAAUUUUUGGUAUAAGUCAAAUUUGAACUGCAAGUGAUUCAAAUUGUGGAACAAAAUGAGUAGAAAAAUGAUAUUCAUGUUAUUUGGCUCAAUUUGAGACCUGACCCAUGAAAUGAAAAGAAAUUUCGAACAUCUUGUUCAGGAAACACGACAAUGAACAUGUGGCGGUAGUAUUUUUAAAUUGUAAAAAAAACAAGCAAAGUCUGAAAAUCAUGAGAUUUGUAGUUAUGUGAUGAUAUAAUACGUGGAAGCUGUGGAAAAAAAUUGGAAAGGUUUUGCACAUUUCAUCAUGUACGAUGAUUACAAACCGAAGCAUAUCAGAAGAAGAAUAGUAACUUUGAGAAGGAUUCGAUAAAAUUUAGAGUCGAAGUGACGGUCGAGUUCGGUUUGACUACAAAACUUUUUGUAUAGUCAGUAGAGAACAUAUCUUAUUUCGUGUGAAAAUUUGGUAUUUUUUGAAACUGUUGGAUAUUUUUAAUUUUUUUUUAAAAAAACUUUGCCGAGUGUCCUAGGGUAGACACUCGGCAAAGAAAAACUUUACCGAGUGCCCGCCUAGGACACUCAGCGAACCUUUUUUUAAACCUACCGGCUCCGGCCGGCCCAGCCCACAAACACCACCCGCCCCCCGCCCCCGCGCCUUCUUCCUCACGCCGCCCCCGCCCCCCACCCGUGCCUCCGGACCGCCCCCUCCUCCCCCUGGCCUCCCCUCACGCCGCCCCCCUCCUCCCCUAGCUCCCUCCACCGGCGGCCCUCCCUCCCCCGGCGCACAUCCUCCACUCCUCCUCCCCUUCCCUUCCCUCCCCUCCCCUCCCCUCUUCCUCCCCUGGCCGGAUCUGGCGCCCCUAGCUCCCCUUUCUUCCGCGGCCAGAUCUGGCGCCCUCCCGGCGGCGGGUCGUGGCGAUCGGGGCGGCGGCGGCGGAUCAGGCCGCGGGGCGGCGGCGGCGGCGGGUCGUGGCUACCGGGGCGGCGCCCUGCCCCUCCCCUCCCUCUCCAUCUCCGGCUGCCGUCCACCCCCUCCCCGGAUCCGCCCCCCUCCCCUCCGCGCGGCCAGCCCCUCCUCCCUCUCCGGCCGCCGCCCCGGCCCCUCCUCUCCCUUUCUCCGGCCACCGCCCCGCCCAUCUUCUCUGGAUCCGGCCGGAUCCGGCCGCCGCACAGCCCCUCCUCCCCGGAUCCGGUGGGCGCGGACUUCGUGGUGGUGGCGCCGGAUCCCUCCCCUCCCUCUCCAGAUAACUCCCUCCACUCCUCCGCUCUUCCCCUCUCUCGCGCGGCGGCCUCUCUCCGGCCGCCGCCCCGCCCCUCUCCCCGGAUCCGGGGGGGGGGGGACUCCGCCCCUCUGCCCCGGAUCCAGCUCCCCGACCCGCGAGUGGGGCGAGCUUGCUCAUGCGGUCGACGUCGAGGCCAGGGUGUGGUGGAGGUGGUGGCCGGCGGGUGUGGUGGUGGUGGCGGCGGCGGGCAUGGCGGCGCGGAGGCAAGGCACGGCGGCCGGUGGGAGGCACGGGUGCAAGGCGUCGACGGCAGGAGGCAAGGCACGGCAGCAUGGGAGGUGGUGCUGUGGUGGUGGUGCUGGCGGUGGUGGCGGCGGCGGAGCAGGAUGUGGUGGUGGCGGAGGAUGUUUUUUUUUCAAAAAUUUGUUGCCGAGUGUUUUCUCGGCACUCGGCAAAGACUUUACCGAGUGCCCGACACAAAACACUCGGCAACUCAGUGUUUGCCGACUGAAAAAUUGCCGUGUGCCGUUUGCCGAGUGUUACACUCGGCAAACGGUUCGCCGAGGGUUUUUUGCCCUUCGCCGAGUGCCCCUAGCACUCGGCAAUUUCACUAUCUCCCGUAGUGGUGGCUGGACUUAUGGGGGGAUCAUUGAUGGGGGACUAGUUGGAUACUUUUUGGCUGUUUUGGGAGUCCUUGGCAGCGGCUUCUCAGGGCGUACGUAGCCCAUUGUAGAUUCCAGCCGAGAAGAUUAAGGAAUUGUGACUGCAACCAUGUUACUUUUCUAGGACUCUGUUUCUGAUAUUGUUCCCGCUGCAUCUUUUCAUCCCCAUGGUGAAUGUUGCUGUUGAUCUGUAGAUUGGAUUUGUUCCUCGGUAGCUUUAUUAGAUUUGUGCUGAAUGAUAAUCUCUGCCUGUGAUAUUUUUCUUCAUUGCGGAUGUGUGCCGAGUAUUAUCCCCUUUGUUCAUUCUGUUGGCUUUUUUUAUUGUCUCUGUACUCGGCUGUUCAGCUUGUGCAGCUAAUGAUCUAAUGUAUUUUGUCGUAACUAUGUAUUUUUCGGAUGUGUGCCGAGUAUUAUCCCCUUUGUUUAUUCUGUUGGCUUGCUUUCAUUGAUCUUAAGAUAACUGGUGCUAUAAAUUCACACUAGCUGAUGCACUUGCAAAUAGCUAUGUAAAUAUGAAAAGAAGUAUUUUUUUAUCCUUUUGUUUGUUUGGCAUCAUAUCUGUUUAAAUGGCAUAGCAAUAAGAAUUUUUUGUUUUUGGGGAAUCAUAUCUGCUUAAAUGGUAUAGAAAAUGCUGAGUGCACUGUCAAAUAGAUUUUCCAGCAGUCUGCUUUCAGUUGUUUUUGCAAAUCCUCACAGGCCAGUGAACUGACUUUGUUUUUACCACCCCAUGCCAUUUAAAUGACUAAAUCAGUCAGCCUAAUACUAUAUAUGGUCAUGCUAUGAUCUUAUUUCUUGAAGCUCUAUAGGUCAACCCAUAAGGGUAACUUAGUUUUUCCUAUUCUGGCUGGGGAAGUGGAUACGAUGGCUAUCCUUGGUAGAGUUAAAUACAUUGGCGGCUCUUAGCGCGCCAAUGUGGCACCACAAUAUCGAACAUAUGUAGAAACCCCCUUGUUUUUUCUCAUAUCCCUCUCUCUCAGCGUCCUCUUCUCUUCUUCUCCUCUGUCUCCUCCCCUCCCAUCGCGUGCUUUAUUGCGCCGCCGCCAUCCGCCUCCAUGUAUGAACACGUCGUUUGUCAUGAAGAAGCAGUUGAUGAGGCAAUCAAGCAUGUGGUGCACAAGGUUCUUCUGCUGGCCAAGUCCGAGUCGAACAGCCGCGCAUUCAUUGGGGAAGCACGCGCCAGGCAUCACCAGGCUCCUCGUGCCCCUACUCUGCUCCAAGGACUCGGUGCUUCGACGCGCUGCUUUCCCUGUCCGGCGAGCGGGGAUCGUUGGGAGAUGAUCGAUGGAGGAUGGAGCUGAUCCUCCUGUACACGGUGCCGGUGGGGAGCAGGGAGCUGCGGAGCAGGUCCACGGGCGGCGCCAUUACAGCAGGUGCAGGCUAAGGGUAAUGAGCAGAUCGAGGCGAUGGAGGAGGACCCGCACGAGGUGCAGCUUCUUCGCCUCCUGCGCAAAGUCAGCGCCCAAGCAGCCGCUGAGGGACAGGCCGAGGCUUAGCUCGAUCUCAUCCGACUAAAUGGUGGCUGCACUCCCACAGUCCCACUGGUGCUCCUCCCUUCUGUCCGAACCUGCCGAGGAAAUCCCUCGAUGCCAUGGGUCCCGGCUGGACGACUACUCCUCCCACAGAUUGACUGAGGAAGAAGAGCUUCUCAGUGUCCAAAAAUUCAGUUACACUGGAAACAGCAACCAAUUACGUUCUUCCGGCUCAGCCAAGCCCCAAUCUCCUUGCUUCUGUGCGCCCCUGCUAAAUAUUCCAGAAACCAAUCUGGUUAGUUGUUUUUUCACAUUUUCAGUGCAUGCCGGUGCUGCUGUGUGCGGCAUGCAUGGAGUUGUCGUGGGAGUGCACGGUGGCUUAGCUGGUGCGCCAGUGCGCGGGCACGAACACAACGGUGAAGAUGGCAGGGCCAUCUCAAAGCUCCUGAGCACCUGCACGCGUCGCUGAGCAGGACAUGCUGCGACGGUGGGCGAGCGCUGCUAACGCCCUGGGGAAGAGCAGUGGGUGCAGAGAGAGGGAGCGAGGGAGAGGGGUUCUUGUAUAUGUUUGCUAGCGUGGCACCGUUUACGGUGCCCGCCUAAGUGGCAUUCACGUGUCAUUCAUCCCAAAUGGUGUUGCAAGGUUGAACCUAUUGUGGGAGGCUUUUGGUUUCCCUUGACAGUAUCACCAGUGAUAUCACUGCGUUCUGGUUAUGUAUGAAACACUUGUCCUUUUAAAACCUUUCUGAAUUUAGAAACGAAUUUGAAACAUUACCCUCAUUUCCAUGUUUUUCUAUCUUUUGUCCCUGUAAAAUCAAACUAAAUUUGAAUUAUUAUGUUCAGAACUACAAGCUGAUUUACUUGUCCCAUUUGCUAAUAACAGGGCCUUGUGAUUUCUAAUGAACAUUGCAGAGCAUGUUAUAAAGCGUAUGCAUGAACACCAAGGGGAUGAAACCAUUGGUAUAUUUCUCACAACCUUUUGAACUUAUCAUUUAGCAUAUUUGUGUUCUAGUGUGACGUUUCAGCCACGAGACAUGAGAAAUGUUAGCUAUGGAUUUUGGUUAUUCAUCAUGGGUUCACAGAUUUGUUUUUCUCUAAAAGAAUUGGGAAGUAGCUUUCUUUCUGGGUAUAUGUGGGGAAAUGCAUAUGCAAUCUUUUAUUUAUUGAGGUGACUGUAAAAUUCUUGUCUGACUGAAUAUGCGAUUUCAACCUACAUGCUAUACUUAGGGAAAUUUGUGAAUCUCCUAAUGUCUGCUGCAUGGCAUGAAUGCAUAUUUUACUGGUCCAUAAUGUGAAGUUCUGUAUAUAAACUUCUCGUGUUGACCCUUUAGAACAUGCUAACUGGAGAGUUUUCUAGAGUAGUUAAACAAGAGAUUUAGUUAAAUCUGCACACAUAGGUGGGGCCUGGCAUACCCUAAGAAUCGGCCUAGCCGGUCAGCCCAUUAGUAAAAAAAAAAGCACCGCAGUCAGCAGUCCCCACGUUGGUCUUCCUCGAGUCGCGACUCGCGAAGCUCCCAUCCUCCGAGUCCAAGAUGGUGGACUGUGUCGAGCGCGGGGCGGGCGAUUAGUUGCCCGGCCGCCGGCGGGGGAUGGCCGGACGGCCAGAUCGCCGACUCCUCUAGUCCUCCCUCCAGCCUCUGCGCUUCUUUCACAGUGGAGCUAGCGGCGAGGCGCCCGACCGACACCCUUCUUCCCAAAUCCCGGCAGCCCUACCUCGAUUUGGCCUCCUCCGAUCAUUUGAUAAUCAAUUUGAUGAAAUUAAUAUGGAGUUGCUUUCUUGUAUGGUUGCCUUCAAUCCUGCUAAUUCAUUUGCUUCAUUUGAUGCACAAAAGAUACAUAGACUUGCUAUAUUUUUAUCCACAAGACAUCACAAGCACGGAUUUGCUAAAACUUGAAUUCCAGCUCGAUAUUAUAUUGAUGAUGUGAGAUAGGAUGAUAGUUUCAAAGGCCUACAAGAUCUUGUUAACUGAGACUCAGUUAAGCUUGUUGAAACAAACAGGCAUAAUAUUUAUGACUUGGUUUACUUGCUUCUCAAAUUGGUAUUGGUUCUUCUUGUGGCGACAGCUAGUGUUGAAAGGGAUUUUUGUGCAAUGACUUUGAUCAAGAGUAAGCUAAGAAAUAAGAUGGGUGAUAGUCUUUUGGAUGAUUGUCUUAUCACAUUCAUUGAGAAAGAUAUUUUCUUUGAAGUGGAUGAAGAAGAUAUAAUUAAGACUUCAUAUCCAUUAGAAAUCGUAGGCUGGAGAAGAAGUAAUAUUUUAAUUUUCUUUGAACGUUAGGUCUGUAAGCUUCUUUUAAACUAUCUACAUUAUAAUUUAUGGACCUUUUAAUUUAACCGUUGAAUUCAUGAUAUUAUGAGAUUUUUUUAUCUAUGUUAUUAUUGUUUACCGAUUUAUUACCAAAUUAUUAGUUUGAUCUUACAAUAUUGUAUUUUGGAUGAUUGGCUCGGCAUACUCUAAGUUUAAAUCCUAGCUCCGCCACUGUUUGCACAUUAAUGUGGCUUAUAUGUGUGGAGUCACUUAACCUAUGCACUUGGACCUCCACUCCCUUAGGUUUUAUGAACCUAAUUUGACAGCCUGCUCGUCUUUUAUUUUCUACCAAUCAGCUAGGAACGAACAUGGUGAUGUUUGCAUCUCUGCCAUCAAUGGCUUACAUGUCAUUAUGUAUCACAUUAGCAAGUCUUGUUUUGUUAUUGGCUGGGAUGACGGGGACUCUAGCUGGAAUUGAAUCAAAGUGGUAGAUCACAGGGUAUUCAUUGCCAUGUAUUUCUGCAGUUGCAUGGACUUGCAUCAAACGGACCUUCCUACUUAUGUGAUUGUCCUAUAUGAUCUCCUUUGAUUUCAUUUGCACACUGUAAUCACAUUAGCUAGAACACUCGCUUUUUGCUUCAAAUUUGAAAUUCAUAUCAUGAUGGACUAGAACGCUGAAUUUCUUGAUUGCUGAGUUACUAAUCACAUUGUGGCGCUGCCAAAGAAGCUGGACUCUUCAUUGUUGUUGCCUUGUGGGCUGCCGUGUGCAAAGAACAAGAGCGCACGGUAUUAUAAUAGCAGAGCAGAACACAGACAAGCGACAAGGAGCGGAGCAGAGCAGAGCACAGCCAGGCACAAGCAGUAGAGUAGAGCAGAGCAACCGGGAGAGGAGAGGGCACAUAUGCAGAGUAGAGCAGAGCCAAGCGCAAGCAUUCAUGCACUCAAGCAUGCAGCAGAGGUGUAGCAAGGCAAGCACAAGCAGCAGAGCAGAGGGAAGGGAAGGCUGGGAGAUGAAUAGGCGAAUAGUUACCUGGACAGAGCAGAGGGAAUGGAGAUGAUGCAGAUGCUUCCGGAGACUCGAGAUUUGGAGAGGAACAAGGCCACGUUGUGAACAAGGUCUCCUUUCUCUUCUCUAUUUCCCGCGCAAGUACUUGUGCAUAGUGGCUGCCUCAUCCUCCAGGACGUCCACUUCAACCUGAGGCGGGUGCCACAGACAUCCUGGCUAUGCGACGGCUACCCCCAGCACACCCCCGGCGCCUAUGAACCAUGAUCCUAAUACUAUAAAUUGUCAACCUUGUAAUCUUAUUUCAAGCAUGCUCUCUAUGUCAACCUGUAAGGUUAACUUCGUUUUUCCUUUUCUGGGUAGGGGAGUGGAUAUUGCUGUUAUUUAUAUUAUGUUGAUAUUGGUUUCCACAUGUCAUUCACCCCAAAUGUGUUGCAAGGUUGAACCUAUCAUCGGAGGAAUUUUUUUCCCUUUACCUUUAUAUCACUACGCUCUGGUUAUGUAUGAAACACUUGUCUUCUUAAAAACCUUAAUUUAGAAACAAAUUUGAAACACUAUCUUCAUUUACAUCCUGUAUGUGUUUUCUACCUUUUGUCCUAUAUGAUCUGCUUUGAUUUGAUUUGUGCAUAGUUUUUUCAAUUCAGACCUGGUGAUUUCUGAGGUUCAUGUUGUGCUGAUAAGCAGCCUACUAUUCAGUAACACUUUCAUGUGGCAUGUUCAUGUUAGCUAGCUAGAAACACUGCUUUUAGCUUCAAAAUUCAAAUUCAUGACAUGAUGGACAUUGACAAUGAAUUUCUUGAUUGCCGAGCUAUGUACACUGUAAUUCAGACCUGGUGCUUUUAGUUUUUUUCUUGAUUGCCGAGCUAGAAACACUGUGCUUUUAGUUUUUUCAAUUCAGACCUGGUGAUUUCGGUUUUUUCAAUUCAGACCUGGUGAUUUCUGAGGUUCACGUGUCACACCGAUUUUAAGAACAAAAUCGAGUGCAUUAAAUAUACAUGUACGCUAGGAUCAGGUUACACACAUGUACGACAUAAGCGAAUAUCAAAGACAAUGCCAUAACGAAAUAAAGAGAGUAUUAAUCAUUAUUACAUGACCGAAAGUCUCAAAUAAACCACAAAAUCUAUUUAUUACAUAGCGGAACUUCUAAGAUAGCAACGUCUCCACAGGCAGCUGACUGAAGAACUGUAUGCCUAGAACUCUUCAAAAUCGUGCAGGUACUCCUCCAGAUUAGCUUGGUAUGAACAACGGUUUUGCAAGGGUGAGUACACUUAUGGUUGGUACUUAAUAAGUCGUGGGAAACAAUGUAGUGUAAGGCAAAUCAAGGUAUGGCUAAGGCUUAAACAGCAUCAGCUUUUAAUUUAGUUGGUCAAAUUUUAUUAGCAAUUAAUUAGACGUAAAUUUAUACCACCCGAAAUUAAACAAGAACAUGAAUAAAAUAAUAACAUAACCAUAAAUGAAAUGACAACAAUUUAAAUCCAUCUUUUCAUAGCAUUAUCAUGUGAGGGUCCAGUCCGUUCUUAACCGUGAGCACCGCUGAUCGAUCAGUUUUACACUCUGCAGAGGUUGUACAUCUUUACCCACAAGUCGCGUAAAAGUUCAAAAGAAUUUUGGACCCAACCAUGCGGUAUUUGCAAGGCACCAUACCACACUUCCAAGGUGUGAUUGCAUAUGAACGCUACGAGGCCUUUACAAAGAUUCAUUAGUAAGUGGUAACCCGCUAAGGUUUCGGUAUUUGGCGUGCACAACCUAUCACAGGCCGCUAAUGCAACGACUCAGUCCCCCCUCUUGCCUCAUCACGAGUAAGAUUACCCCAGACUAAGGUUUCUAAUUAUUCAGCCAAGAUCAGAACCAUUUAGUCUUGUGGUAGCACUGUUUUCCUGGGUGGUUCUCCAUGUUCCGAUUAAACAUAAUGGUCUUGUAUUAAUGGAAGGUAUAACAUAAAUAAUACCAAAUUAAUAAUAAUUCAGAUUAAAUCACCAUAACCAUAUUUGAGCACUAAGCAUGAGCUACCCAACAUAAAUUUAACCCGGUUGGUCAAGGCAAGGUAGAUAAAGUCUAGGAAAUUCUUAAUUGGGACCCAUCAAGUUUAAAUUAUACUUUGCAUGGUAUGUUGCAUAGAACAUGAAAGUAAAUGUGAAUAGGACUGAAAAGGAGUGAUUAGGGACACGACUUGCCUUUUUAACCUUGUUCUUGCUGUUCGUACUCUUCGAAAACUUUGAUCUUCAAAUCCCUUGAACUGCUGACCGUCUACACGCGUCACACGACCACAUACAAGCAAACAAAUAUAAUACAUAAGAAAACAGUACACCAAUCAUAAUUAAAUAGAAGAAACAAAUUUGAAAAGCUAUUCUACGCAUUAAAACGAAAACACGGAUACAAGGAACGUUAAAAACGGAGCUACAGUGCAAAAACUACGCUUAAAACAAGAUGCAGGGGUAUAACUACGAGAAACCAAACUUCCAGGGAUUUAAUUUUAAAUAAUUUUGAACUGCAGAAGGGGCAGCAGGGCAAAACGUAGAAAAUGCAGGGGCUUAAGCGCAAAAGCAUGGCUGCUGACUCAGCUGACUUGAUGUGGAUCGUCGGAUGGCGAUCCGGCGGCCGGCAGCUGCUGCGCUGACGUCAGCGACGGCGAGCGCCGGCGAAAAACGGCAGUUCGCCGGAAUCGCCCGGGAACGCGCGACUGGGUGCAGAUUUGAGCGAGGAUUAGACUAGCAGAUAGAAACGAGCGCAGUGAACUCAUUUGGGAUGCCUACGGCGAGGACUUGGCGACGGCAUCGGCUCCGGCGAGAACUUGCGGCAGGGAAACCAAAUAAAAUAAAAUAACACGGUUCAGAGAAGCGGCGCUGGAGGAACGCGAGCGAUUUUGCGUGCGAGCGGAAGAAAACACUGCGAGGAAGAUGACUGCGGGCCCUGCUUGUCUGCGGCAGGAGGAGAGCUGCGUGCGAGAAGAACCUGGCCACGAUCUGGGCCGUUGCCUUCGAUCUGGGCCGAGGCAAGCUAGCUGGCCCGCUGCUGCGGAAAGGUGCUGGGCCACGGGCGGAGCACAGCGUCGGGCCAGAAAGGAGAUGGCUGCUGCGAGGAAACAAAAGAAAAUGAACUGGGCUGCGACAGAGGAAAACUGGGCGUCGGCCAGAAAGAAGCUGCGUGCAGCUUGCUCUUGUUUCCGAACUAGAAACAGGAACUGACGGAAAGACAGAAAUCAAUUGGAGACUGAAACUGACGCCCCAGACUCUGAACUUCGAAAAAACAGGACAACCAGCCAACUGACAGAAAAAAAAAAGCUUAACAACCCAAAAGCAGUACACAACCACGAAACCAGGCCACAAGACUGAAAAAGCUUGAUAGGAACAUCUGGCGACUGAACCAAAAAACUACAGAACUGCAACUGAAGAACUAGAGAACAGAUAAAUAACUGAUUGAACUCUGAAACUGAAACACCAAAGAGCAGGAAGCUGACUGACGGAAAAUGCAAAACAGCAACCCAAGGUGAAACACAAAUUCUUCUUCAAGCAUUCAAACAAAGAGAUAUGCAACAGCAUGAAUGCUCAAUAAAAUCCUAUAUUUCAUUAAUUAAUUAGAAAAAAUGCUCAAAUGCCUAGAAAAAUGCAAAAGUGACCUUAUAUGCCUUAAACAAGCAAAUUCGUUUCUAGCGAUUUUUGGUAAAAUGCAAAAUUAGAGAUUUUGGGUGUUACAUCAUGUUGUGCUGAUAAGCAGCCUACUAUUCAGUAACACUUUCAUGUGGCAUGUUCAUGUUAGCUAGCUAGAAACACUGUGCUUUUAGCUUCAAAAUUAAAUUCAUGACAUGAUGGACAUUGACAAUGAAUUUCUUGAUUGCCGAGCUAUGUACACUGUAAUCACAUUGUGGGGCUGAUAAAAUAAGCAGCGUUGAGACACAUAACAAUUGAAUCUUAAGCUUCACACAGAAUCUGGACCAGUCAUCCUCAUUCCUGUCAUGCUGGAAAUGUCUUUGAUACAUUUCAAUCACAGGCAAUUGAAUUCGUACUGGGGAGGAUGGCAAUGGUGCAUGAAGAGAGAUCAAUGUGGCAAAUCUCACAUUGUUCAUUACCAGGUAUCUCCGAUUUCUGGUUAUUUUAAAUUUACCUUGACAUGUGACUUAUUGAGGUAUUGUAUUUCAUCUAAUGGUAGUUCUGAAUUUAUGGUAACCUUGGAUGGGGUUUGUCACUUUAUACACGCACGGACUUACAAAGGACAGCAAAUGAGUAUAUUUAGAGGGCUCCUGUCCAACCAUGGACUAUACUUAUGUACCCUUUUUUGACAUGGUAAUUUGAGGUUAAUGGAAAAGUAGCGAUAGUCGCCUCCAGCGAAGCUACCUUCUUCGAAAGCUCCGAGGCUGCUUUCUCGCUCUUAGCAAGCCGAUCCCUCGUAAUCAUCGAAGAGUAAGAGACCUACAGAUUUUAAAAACCAAGUUACCAAAAAUAACGAAGUAAAAGACAACACUCGCAAGACAAACCACCAAACUAUCUCAUAAUUGUACCUUCUUUACGAGGUUCGCCUCCAAGUUAAAGAGCUCUUCCAAGAUCAUUGACUUCACAGCUUGCUGAAAAUCUAUGCGCCAAAGGAUAUAGUCGUAAGCAUAAAAUAAAAAUUGGUAAAAACCAAGGACAGCAAAGCCAUCUACAAGCUGUUCUUACCCUCAUACUUUCGCACCUCAACGGCGAUCGGAACAACCUUCUCUCUAGCCUCGCCCUUAGACGCCACCACAAUCUUCCCGCCACACAAAUCCACAACCCCUCCUUUACCUUUGCCCUCUCCCGAAGUCGUCGUGCCCGCCUUCUCCACCCUUUUUGAACCGCCAACAUCUGCAUAGCGCUCGCAACCUUCACCUUCAGCCCCCCAGACCAAAGACAGGUUGUGAGGAUUAUAAACCCUACCUUCGGCGCAUGUAGCUAGAAUCUCCGUGCGCCCGCUCAAGCCCAGACACUCAUUCAGUCCCUGAAGCCCCGCCGGCAACCUCUCACCUACAUCAUAACAUUCAACUUUUAGCCUCACAUGAUCCUCACAACUAACCUUACCAACGCCCCCCAUAGUUUCUUCCAAGUCCUUCAAAAAUUUCGUUGAGGCCUCACCACAAUCAAAGAACCGUAGCAUCGAUAGAAACACCUCUACAUGCUUACCAGAUCUCACAGCUUCGGCACACCCACCCUUUGGAUCAGAUGAGAACGCAUCCACAAGCUUCGCCUUUUCGGUGGCAAACCCCCUCUCAAGUUUCCCAACAUCAGUCAAGAGAUGUUGCGCGCUCUUAAACUUCGAGCUUAUGGAAGGCACCGUGAUCUUGGUACCAGCUGCCGAAGACGCGUCAACCUUGGCACCCGUAACAGUAACAGGAGCAAAUCGAGGUUUCUUGGCGCCUCUUUUGAUCCGUGCGGCGGGCCCGGUGGAUGAAGGUGCAAGAGCUGGAACCUCCUUAGGAGGGCGCAUAGAGACAGGAACAACAUAUGCCGGAUUGCUCAAGUCGCCAGACGAAGCUGUCGACCACGAUGGCAACAUAGCAGACGAAGCCCCCGCGGUCAUUUCCUUCCUUUUUUGCGCCUCCAAAUUCAAGGUCUUUUGCUUCGCCUUAGCGGUCACUUGCAAUUCAAUAGUGAGCUUCACCAUGGGUACGAAGUCAAAUUUUGCCUUUUUCCUCUGCUCAAGACUAGCACCGCGACGGCGCCUCUUGCCCGUAACUUUGGGGUGAGGCAGAACCACAAUAUCAUACAAGUCAAAAAUCUAAGAUGAUGACAUUCCAUUUGUAUCCAUGAUUUAUAUUGUGUUCCUUGAAUAUCCAUUAAAGUCUACUUGAAUUGAUUUGCAAUUAUGUGAAUUGUAUGUGAAACUCUUUCCUUGUAUGGUUAUUCUAAAGUUGUCCCUAGUCGGAGUUCAUGUGAGGACACAUGAAUAUUAGACUAGCACAUGUAUUAGUUGAUGACUAUGUUUCACAAGUCAUGGACAUGAAGAUGUGGAACUAAUAAUGUGGGCACAUGUGGAGACACGUGCUAGGACUGACCCAACACGAGAAGUAGUUCUCUCUUUAUACAACAUAUACGCUUUGUCCUUAGACCUGAGAUUGUCGCAUGUACUCAAGAUGUGGAUCGACUUACUUAGGGGCUAUCAAAUUCUACGCCGUAACAGGGUAGUUAUAAAGGUAGCUUUCGGGUUUGUCAAGAAGCAUGCUAUGAGACAUGGUCAAUCAAGAUGGGAUUUGCCCCUCUCUGAUUGAGAGUGAUAUCUCUGGGCCCCUCGAGUGAUCGGAUCCGAAAAUGCAUGGCCAUGCUACAUACGAUUAAGAGUUAGCCUACAAAAGGAUUCCGAAUCAUAGGAUCGAGAAAGAGCGGUCGGCUUGAAGCUAGACCAAAUAUCGUGAGGCAAAGGGAAUAGCAUGUAUAUAAUGUUGUGAUGGUUCGUCUGAUAUGAUCUUCGUGUGCGUAUAGGAGUUGGCACGUCUUGCUAGAGGUCGCUACCGACUAUUGGGCCGAGUAGGAGUACUCAGGCCAUGUCUAUACGUAUCCGAACCCAUAGGGUCACACACUUAAGGGGCUGGAAGCCCAAUUCGGAUGUGAUCCGAAUUGGAUUAGGUUUAGAAGUACUAAUGGGCCUUGGACCUAGAGGCCCGUUAGGAACCUCUAUAAAUAGAGGGGUGGGGGCGCCCUAGGGUUUACACCUUUUUGGUGAAACACAUCUGCCGCGCCUCCCACGCCUUCGCCUGUUGCAACUCGCGGACCUAGCAGUCCGGCUUGCGACGCUUCCUCCCUGCACGUGUGGAUACCUUGGAAGUGUUGCUCCUGCAGCACUUGGACGAGCCGCCAACGAGCCACGACGAGCCACGAUGAGCCGACGAUGAGCCGCGGCACGAGGGGGAUCUUGCUGCACGUGGACGAGCUGCUGAGGAGCUGCUGGACGUCGAUGUGUUCGACUACGUACGACUACGCUGAUCGACUUCGCUGCAUCAACGCGAAUCUACAUCUUCCGCAUCAUUGCAUCGAGUGGUAAUCCCGUGAUCCUGAUACGGCAGUUUUCCUAGUUUACGCGGUAGAAAAUUUUGUUUUGUGCUAGUGUAGCCUAACUCAUAUCCCAACAACGUGUGCUAUAGGUCACGCAAGCCUGAAAAUGGCCACACCGGACACCGGGUACGAAAACAUGGGGGAUGGACCGAACAUUUGAAAAUGGCCUCCAUAUGUGUUUUCGGCUAUGAAAAUGUGUGUUAUAGGUCACAGAAGCUUGAAAACGGCCGCACCAGCCACUAGGGACGAAAACGUGGGGGAUGGACCAAAGACAUAAAAAAUAGCCUCCAGACGCGUGUUCGGCCAUGAAAACGUGUGGUAUAGGUCCUGGAAGGCCAAAAACAGCUACACCGGCCACCUGGGACGAAAAAGUUUGUGUAAGACCGAACACUUGAAAAUAGCCUCUGGACGCGUGUUCGGCUAUGAAAAGGUGUGUUAUAGGUCACACGAGCCCCAAAACAACCACAGCGAACACCAGCUACAAAAACAUGGGGGAUGGAUCGAAUAAUUGAAAAUGGCCUCCAGACGUUUGUUCGGCCAUGAAAUCGUGCGUUAUAGGUCGCGGGAGCCCGAAAACGGCCACACCGGCCACCGGGAAUGAAAAUGUGGGGGAUGGACCGAACAAUUAAAAAUGGCCUCCGGAUGUGUGUUCGGCCAUGAAAACGUAUGUUAUAGGUCACGGGAGCAUGAAAACGGCCGCACUGGCCACUGGGGACGAAACGUGGGGGAUGGACCGAAGACGUGAAAAUAGCCUCCAGACGCAUGUUCGGCCAUGAAAAUGUGUGCUAUAGGUCAUGCAAGGCCAAAAACAGCUGCACCAGCAACCGGGGACGAAACCAUGGCUGUCAAACCGAACGCUUGAAAAUCGCCUUCGGACGCGUGUUCGGAUAUGAAAACAUGUGUUGUAGGUCACGCGUGCCCGAAAACGUCCACAACGGACACCGGGUACAAAAACGUGGGGGAUGGAUCGAAUAACUGAAAAUGACCUCCGAACGCGUGUUCGGCCAUGAAAACGUGUGUUAUAGGUUGCGGGAGCCCAAAAAUGGCCACACCGGCCACCGAGGAUCAAAACGUGGGGGAUUGACCGAACAAUUAAAAAUGGCCUCCGAUUGUAUGUUCGGCCAUGAAAACGUGUGUUAUAGGUCAUGGGGGCCCAAAAAUGGCCGCACCAGCCACCAAGGACGAAAAUAUGGGAGAUGGACCAAAGACAUGAAAAUGGCCUCCAGAUGCAUGUUUGGACAAAAGUGUGUGCUAUAUGUCGUGCAAGGCCAAAAACAGCUACACCAGCCACCGGGACAAAAACGUGGGUGUUUGACUAAACAAGUGAAAAUGGCCUCCGGAAGCAUGUACGGCUAUGAAAAUGUGUGCUAUAGGUAAUGGAAGGCUAACAAAAGCUACACCGGCCACCGGGGACAAAAUCAUGGGUGUCAGACUGAACACUUCAAAAUGGCCUCCGGACGCGUGUCCGGCUAUCAAAACGUGUGUUAUAGGUCAUGCGAGCCCGAAAACAACCACACUGAACACCGGGUACAGAAACAUGGGGGAUGGACUGAAUAACUGAAAAUGGCCUCUAGACGCGUGUUCGGUCAUGAAAACAUGUGUUGUAGGAUGCGGGAGCCCGAAAACGGCCACACCGGCCACCAGGGCAUGGACCAAACAAUUGAAAAUGGCCUCCGGAUGUGUGUUCGGCCAUGAAAACGUGUGUUAUAGGUCACGGGAGCCCAAAAAUAGCCGCACCGACCACUGGGGAUGAAAUCGUGGGGGAUGGACCGAAGAUGUGAAAAUGGCCUCCAGAUGCGUGUUCGGCCAUGAAAACGUGCGCUAUAAGUCAUGUAAGGCUAAAAAUUGCUACACCGGGACUAAAGCAUCCCCCAUGAGUUACAAUAAAAGGAUUGUAUCCUCUACUCAGUCGGAUGUACUGUGUAGGUGAGAUGGUAAGGAAGCUAUGCGCGAGGUUUGAGGUUGUGGGUUGAAAUCCUACGCACCGCGCGCACACGCGCAUAUUUUGUGUGAAAAAUCAUGUGACUUGUGAUCGGCCAAGGAGAAGUGGGUGCAGCUGUGGCUUAAGUGGCUGAGGCACGCUGCCAUAGACAUCUCCGAUUUGCUCGAAGACUACCAAGACACUAGCAAUAACAAGAACUACUGCUCUUCCUAGCAGACUCUUUACAACCACUUUAAAGCUGUGCAUUUCUCAAUGUAAUUUCGUAGAAGGCAAUCGAUCCAACCAAGCGACUAAAUCAUUUGUUCUUGCCAAUGAUGUACAUCAGGUUUUCUAUAUGAAGGACAUGUCUAGCAAACCUAAGAUUUUAGAAGAAAAAGAAAAAUUAUGGGAGUCAAUAAUAAAUCAGGCCAAUCAGGAGAUUAUAGUAAGCUCGAUGGUAUGCCUCCAUUCGAUGUCGAAGUUGGCCCAAGCAUCAUGUUAGCCAAAGAUCAAAUGUUCGUGCAUUGCUACGGUAAAGAUCAAUUGUGUCUUUUAAACCCAUGGAAUUUUUUAUCUAUGUUUUUAUUACACUUAAUGGAUGUCUACACAUUUGCUAGAAAAUCAAAAUAAUUUUGACUUAAUUAUUUCUUUCAACUCAAAUACUCAUUAAAUUUCUACCUUUUUAUUUAAGCAAGAGAGUUGCUCAAAAAAUGGAUACGUAACCAUGUUGUAUCAUACAAAGCAACCACAUUUCACAUAUAGUCUGGCUUAGCAAACACCAUUGUUGUCUUAACAUAGUGUUCAUGAGUUAGUAGACAUGGAUCUAUUUCUAAUUGCAAGUAGUGCAGCGUACAACCAGCCUGCACCGCCGCAGCUCAAUAUGCGAUAAUUUUUUAUCUUCCCAUGUAAUUUUUCUACUCUAGUACAUAUUGAACUCCACAUAAAUGUCAUGUUCUUUCACGCCACAGACGGUUUCUAAAGUUUGGAACUAAAUAGAUAGCCAAAAAUUUUAAAAAAAUAUUUAUAUGGAUACAUGUAUGUUCUUUGCAAACUAACAAUAUUGUUUACAAUAUCAAAAGGAAUAUGGCUAUGAUCAUUGCCGCAUAUGGCAGGUGAUGGUAGAUGCCGUAUGGGGUUUCUUUAACUUAAUUGUAUAAUAAGCUGAAAUACAUUUUCUAUUUGCAAAUGAAUCAUAGCUGAAAGUGGUGGGAUUGUAGAACCGCCGGCCAUCGUGUCCUUGUAGGACCGCUGCACGAGCCUGUGAGCCACCAGCCACCAUGCGCCCAAGGGCCAUCACCACGCCAUAAGAGGAUGCUGUCUACCCGGUUUCGCGCGCCUGUGCUAGCUGCCUGAACCUGGGCCGCCGCCGGUCGCCUGCCCAGCCGCGCGUUGCGCCAGGGUUUUGCUGGUGACGACCAUGGCCUUCGCGAUCAAAUUAAAAAGUUAUCAACUGCAAAGUAUUAGGUCUCGUUGAGCUCUACAAUUUUGAUAUAAAGUUUCUAUUCAUCCGAGAUCAAAUAAAAAAUUUGAUACUCAAAGCAUAAAUCCAUUAAUCUAGUCUUGCUAAUCCUUACCACCAAAUAAAAAACUAGCAUGUGUUGUGUGUUUGUGACCCUAAACGAUCACAAAUGAAUAACUUAUGGGCCUUGCUAGCGCCCGGAUGUCCAGGCCGGGGCACUAGCAUCAGACCCACGAGUAGCCGUCCGAUCAGGUUCGACACCACUUCAGGAUCUGGCUUAAAAAGAAGUCCCACCGAAACAUUGUUCCAUGUUGCAUGAAGCAACCCACUACCGUCGCCAGGUCUAGAGCAAGCACCACCUUCAAAUGUGCUGCUCACCCUAGCUAAAUAGGGGCAUUAAAAUAUUUCUCGCAUAUCCUUCUCAAAUUAAACAAAAUCGCAACAUCUGAAAAUUUUUACAGAAAACCAUGAAACAUAUCGAUUAGAUAGAUGUAACAAGAUGGAAUAUGGUAUAUGCAACAUAUAGGUUCCGAAAAGCAGAUGAAAUAUUAUGUAAUGAUUCUUGAAACAGUCAAGAAAAAUAGAUGUAACAUCUAAAAUUAAGAAAAGAAGCUUUAUGCAAAUUGCAAAAAGCUGAAACAAGUGGUUGAAACAUUUCAAAUCACCAAAUGCCACAUUUGAAAUGACCAGAUGAAACAUCACGAAAUCAAUUGCAACAGUUGAAGAUGAAAACAUUCAAAUGCCUUGCCUUUCUCCAAAUUUGACCCUCCAAGCAUGAGUCCAGCCAUUUGCACAUUAGACCCUUGGGAGGAGCUCACCGGAGAACAACAAGACCGUGUUAUCCAACAAUUUUCAGAUCAAAUUGCAACAUAAAGAACAAAGCAUUGCAACAUCUGGCAUCACGAGCUACAACAGCAACCAGUUAGGAUCAGGAGAAAGAGGGCAAACACAAGCCUAACAAUGAGUUAUAUCCGGUUUAAACAAGGAUAAAAAUGAGUGUAUUUUACACUCAUCAUGUUGUCUUUUCGCAGCUGUACCGCCUUUAGCGUGUUGUAUUGUUCCUAACACCAAGUCUCCGAGGCCCGAAAAAAUAAGGAAAGUGGUAGCAGCUCAGAAAUCGACUAAGUUUCUUUCCCCCUUUGGCUUUCCUACUAGGAUUCGGAAUCCUCUUUCGUAUGACAAUCUUAAUGAUCUCCCAUAGUCCAAAACUCACAAAAACAUCAAAAAUCCACCGAGAAUAAAUUAAGUAAAAAAACAUGCACACACAGAUAAUAAUAGUAAUCAUGUUUCAUUAUGAUUGCUAAGGUCAGACACAAUACAUAAACAUAUUAGACUGAGUGACCCACCUCACCUCAGAGUAUGCACCAUGUCUGAGUGACCCACCUCACCUUGCCAGGACACUGGUCCUGCCCUCGUGGUUCACGCGCCCUCGUGGUUCAGCAGUGGUCAGUACACAAAUCUAGCUGCCAGUCGGAUCCAAGGGCAGGCAUUUGCAUUGUGGUUGUGUUUGAACAUGGAGAUGUCAUUAUUAUUGUCAGGCACCAUACAUCCUCUCUCAGUUUCACUCCGCCUCACACACGGAUAGCACACCAGGGACCCGACACCAUGCAUGCCGAUUUCAUAUUAUUAAUAUUUAAUUUUUUUAAUGGUUGUUGAAACUAUAUUGUUGAUAUUUUUAUACAUAAUUUACGACCUAAUUUGGAUAUAUUUUUGAAAUAUUCCGAAAUCUUAAAUUCACACGUCUAGAGAUACAGUUAGUCCAAUCUGAUGUUUCCGAUUAUAAAAAUGAACAUAAAGAGAUAGGAAGCGAGAGACGUGAGGGGGAAAGUUAAAUUAGGGCCUAAGGGGUGAAGUUAGGGUUCCAGGUGAGCUGUCAUCACUACGUGUUUUUAAUCGAAAUUGGAAUGUCAGCAAUCGUCAGAUCUUGAGCCAACAGUUGAGACUGCCUCGGAAUGGUAAUUAGGUCUGCGCGAGCUUGCAUUGUGGCCUUCCUUGAAACCUUGGACAUAGGUGUUAUAUUAUUAUGUUCUUGCCAGCACACAGCAGUGAAGGACGACACAGUUGAGAUGUGCAUCACAUUUUCUAUAUGAAGGAUAUGUUUAGCAAACCUAAGAUUUUAGAAUAAAAAGAAAAAUCAUGGGAGCCAAAGCGCCACAUAGUUCUUCCAGGUAAAAAAAAAUCAUCCACUGGACCAGCACAUAGUAACGAUCCAAAAAGUCCAUAUUAAGAUUUUUUGAUAGCAGAAAAAACAUAAAAUGUCUAAUAUUUGUAGUAUUAAAAGGAAAAAUAAUAUAUUCACGUGACCUUUUUCCCGUAGCAAGGCACCGGUACGUGGUCAGACUUAAUGCACGAUGCCUAAGCAUCCAUUGGGCCUACCCUCGUGUGGAUCACGCGCAACAGGACACGGCUCACAAGCUAUGAUGUGCAGCAGUCGCUCAGAUGGCUGAAAGGUACCCUUAAUUUGAAUGGUACCAUAUAUAUAUAUAUAUAUAUAUAUAUAGUAAACAAGACAAACCACCGUUGAUACUACUUUGCACUACUUGAUACAUAUAUCUCCACCAAAAGCGAGGCACGUGGGGAGGAGAGAUAUGUGGUUGAUGGUGCGGGCACGUGGCGAGUGCACCGUACGAAAAUUUUGCUCGUGUCGGACGACUGAUGUGAAGCAUUACCCAAUCUUAAUUAUCUCCCAUAAUCCAAAACUCACAAAAACAUCAAAAAUCCGCCGAGAAUAAAUUAAGUAAACCAUGCACACACAGAUAAUAAAAUUGCUAAUAAGGCCAGAGACAAUACAUAAACAUAUUAGACUGUUCAUGACACAUAUCACGGUGGAUAGUGUCUGUGUCCUUAUUACAAGCAAUGAGAGAUGCUUGUCACCACACACACGCGCACAGAUGCACAACAUACAUAUAGUUGAGACCAACAGAUGGAUCAACUAGAGGUCACCCCAUAUGGUGAACAAUUUAUUGGAGAUAAACAUUAACAUAACUUGGCCAUAGCUUGAAGCAUAGCAACAUAUGCCUAUGAACGGCGUUCAUGCUAUCAUUUUAGGCUUGUCCGCUUCUUCCAUCUUAGCAAGCACUUCCAUUUCUACCAUCUUAGAAGCAACUGUCAAAUUGAGAUAUGGAAAUCCCAUUAGCGCAUGAGUUAAUUUUGCAGUGAAAAUAGAGUACAAGAUAUCUUCAUGAUGUAAGUAACAUGCCUGAAGUUGUGAGAUGGGAAGUGAAGUCAACAAAUUACAUUAACGGAAAUGCAUGGAAGGCCACACAUACGUAUUAGUCCAUGAUAUGCUACAAAGCUUGUAUGUACAUAUAGCAAAUUAAAUGCAUUAAUUGAAUAGAGUGAGUUUAGUGAAUUUACCAGAAUCGUCCAGAAAACAUGGGAAACAGCAAGUGUUCUUGCAGACUGCGUCGGUGCCACCCACAGCAAUACAACCAAAACAACAUGCUUUUGCCCGAGCGGCUGCGCAGCAGCCGCACUCUGCCGCGGUGGCCGAGUUAGCAUUGAGGCUCAAGAUGACCAGGCACAUGAUCACCAUCAAAGCGGUGGUAGUCCUCUUUCCCUCCAUUGCCUCCUCUUGCUGCUACCUUCCUUGGUUACCUAGCUAAGUUUAUUGGUUUUGUGUUGAGAGGUGAUUCUUGCAUUGAAUGGACGUUGCCGCGGCUGCAAUUUAUAGGCAGCUGCGCUAUGUGAUGAUAUGGACAAGGUGCAAAUGGGUGGUCCUGAUAUGGAUAAGGUGCAUGCGAAUGGCUGUCUACUUGUAUAGUGGCGCUCCAAUGUACAUACGUAUGUAUCUUAUGCAUGUAUACAGUUGAUGGAUGUACAUGUUUGUUGCACAAAUUAUUCUGAACCAACUCUUCAUAACAGGUCUUUGUUACCAAGUAAUUUUACUUUUGCACGUUUCAGCCGAGAGGCAGAAGAGAAUAUUUUACAGAGAGGGCAGAGAAGGAGGUUGGCGGAGGCGCCGUGGUAGGGUUCCCCGUGUCGCCAAGAUUUUUGCAUUUUAGAUGUGUGUAUUGAUCACUUCGUCGUGCUCGCGGGGCCCAACUCCAGGUUGUACCCCAGCAGACCACGUUCUGUUUCUCUGCCUCCAAUGAGCAUGCAUGCCUCCACAAGGACCACAAGACUUAGUAAAAAAGCUAAACUUUGCAACACGAUGUAUACAGAACGUUUUGAAAUGUACUCUCGUUAGGCAUUCACCUCCUUAACAAUCACUGCGACUGUAAAAGAGGUACAUCGACGCUAGCUAAAUAAACCACUAUAAGAUUUAGCAAGAGAUCAUUUUAUACAAUCCUGUAACGAAACAAUUUGACAAUUAUAGUGUCCAUAUAUUUUGACAAAAAAACGUUUAAAUUAUAUAAGGAGGUGGGCCCGAAAACGGUUGGAUUACAUCGAGAACGUUUUGAAACAGUUGGCGGAGCAGGAUUCUGGCGUGGAGCAUCUACAUUGUCGCGCGCGCGGACUGCCGGAGUAGGCACGCUCGACUUGUCCCAUCGCCAGCUAAAUGAUUUAGUACCGGAUGGUCUCUAGUACCGGUUGGAGCUACCGUCCACCAGGAGCUUUUCUAGUUUGGAACUGGUACUAAUGCUAAUAUUAGUAUCAGGUCAAAAACAAUCGGUACUAAGGCUAGGGAUGACACGUCAUUUUUCUAGUAGUGUGUGCAAUUGGUUUUGUAAUUAGUCUAUAUUUAAUACUUCUAAUUAGUAUCUACACAUUUUAUGUGACAGGGACUGAACUUUAGUCCGUGGAACCAAACACCCCAUAAGUAUGUUUGGUGCUGUAAGGAUUUCGGUUUUAUUUAAUUUCCUAGGCAUUUAAAUUUCUUUCUAAAAUAAGUUAAUGAAUCAUAGGAUCUCAUUGUUGUAUUCAAGCUGGUGCAUUGAUUUUGCCUAUAAAACCCGCCGCGGUCUUCGCAGCCCCCAUCAAACCCUAGCGCCCUUGCCACAAGCUCAGCACCGCUGCCGCCCGAGCUCGAGCACUAGCACCCACCCAUCGCCGUUGCCUUCCCGUCGAUGGGAUCACCGCCCGGAGCUUCGCAUCGUGGUAAGGAAGCCGCCCGUGAAGAUCCCAUGUGCUCCUAUGCCCUCUACCGCGUCCCCGAGUUCCCGGAGUUGCUAGUCUCCCACCGAGCCGACUCUCCGAGCUUCACGUCACUGGUGCCGCUCCGAAGACCUAGUUCGGUUCGCCAUGCACCUCGCUUCAUCCUGAGCUAAACCCCAUAAUGAAUGGUGGUCGGAUGCUCGCCGCCACGGCGCGUCGUCUUUUCUGUCGCCCGUGCAUUGCCUAUCCCCUUCCAGCCGAUUGCAGCUGUCCGAUCGCAAACCGGUGGCCCUGAUCGGAUACCAAGGUCAAUACCGGUCGAACCGAGCCGUGCGCUGCUUUUGCAAGAAGGCCCCUGUUUUUCUCUCUUUUUGCACCUGAGGUCCUACGCAGUUCAAAAGUAAUAAGAUCUAGGUCCUUUUUCUUUUGUUUUAGCCCGUGUUCUUUUAUAAAAUCCCGCCCACUAUUCUGUUUGGUCUUUUGACGCGUUAGACCUUCUUUUUAUAUGUUUAAUUAGGUUUUAGGUCUCGAUUUCUUUAAGUUUAGCCCUUGAAAGUUUAGUUCUCUCGCAGUUAAGCCCCUGAACCUUGUUUAGCUCAUAUCUUAAGCGUUUUAAAUCCGUUUUAACAGAUUCUUGCGCCUAUAAGUUCAUGUUGACGCAUAGAUUAGUUGACUUAUACGAACCUUGCUGAUUCAGCUCCUUGAUUGUGCUUCAGAUCUCGCUAGGGAAGAAUAAUGGAUGGGCUUUGGUUGAGCUUGUAGAUCGACUUGCAGUUGCAGUGAAUGAGCAGAGGAUUGGCAGUGAAUAAGAUCAGGCCGCUGCCCUGCUUGGUAGGGAAAAUAUCUGCUUGCUACCAAGGCCUGUGACGCAUGGACCCCAUUGAGAGUGCAUUAUUGACAAGGACUUAAAGCCAAGGGCUCCACACCUGUCAUUGAUCAGCUGUCUGCUGGGCGCUGCAAGGAGGUAGUGCAUGUUUGACAUAAAGAAGCAGGUGGCCCAGGAUUUACGAAAAAUAAGGAUCUAUUUGAUACCCUUGCUUAUAUUUAGGGGCUAAAAGUUGCUUAUUUGAAGUUGCUUAUUUUUAAUCCUAGCUGUUUGAUUGCAUGGGCUAAAGAGCAUUGAAUGAGGUGGAUAUUGUCAUGUUUGCCUCUAAUGAUUGCUUCCCAUCACAUUUCUCCCCCCUCAUUCAACGAGGGAAGGAGGUGUAAAGUGCACCUUUUAGCCCCGAUAAGUAACCCUUGUGUUGUUUACGGGCUGAACAUAAGUAGCUAAAGUUUAGCUCCAAUAAACAAGAGUGUUUGGUAUUUUUGGGGUUAAAAGGGGCUAAACUUUAGCUGCUUAUGCAUAAGCAAGGCCAUCCAAAUAGGCCCUAAGUAUGUUUGGCGUUGUAAGUAGGUUUUAUUUAAUUUCCUAGGCAUUUAAAUUUCUUUCUAAAAUAAGUUAAUGAAUCAUAGGAGUUCAUUGUUGCAUUCACGCUGGUGCAUUGAUUUUGCCUACAAAACCUGCUGCCGUUUCCGCAGCUCCCAUCAAACCCUAGCACCCCCGCCACGAGCUCCAGCGCCGCUGCCGCCCGAGCUUGAGCACUAGCGCACACCCAUCGCCGUCGCCUUCCUAUCAAUGGGAUCACCGCCCGGAGCCCGUGUCAUGGUAAAGAAGCCGCCCGUGAAGAUCCCGUCCACUCUCGUGCCCUCUACCGCGUCCUCGAGUUCACCGGAGUUGCCAGUCUGCCACCCAGCCGCCUCUCCGAGCUUCAUGUUGUCGUUGCCACUCUAGCUGCCUCUCUGAAGACCUAGAUCGGUUUGCCGUGCACCCCGCUUCAUCCUGAGUUAAACCCCAUCAUGCCACGUCAUAGUAAGGAAGCUGCUCAUGAAGAUCCCGUGCGCUCCCGUGCCCUCUACCGCGUCCCCAAGUUCACUGGAGUUGCUAGUCCACCACCGAGCCGCCUCUCCGAGCUUCACUUCACAGUCGCUGCUCCAGCCACCACUCUGAAGACCUAGAUCAGUUCGCUGUGCACCCCACCUCAUCCUGAGCUAAACCCCAUGACGAACUGUGGUCGGAUGCUCAUUUUCGAGUGAAUUCCGGCGAGAUGGUCGCCCGCCGCCGCCAUCUCCAUCGCCCAUGCACCGCCUGUCCCCUUCCAGCCGAUGUCCGAUUGCAAACCGAUAGCCGAAAUCGGAUGUGGUCACCAGGAUUAAUACCAGUCAAACUAAGCCACGCGUGCCGCUUUUGCAAGAAGGCCCCUAUUUUUCCCUCUUUUUGCACUUGAGGUCCUAUGCAGUUCAAAAGUAAUUAGAUCAAGGUCCUUUUUCUUAUGUUUUAGCCCUAUUCUUUCAUAAAAUCCCGGCUGCCAUCCUGUUUGAAAUAGAUACGGUUAUAGAUAUGCAAACAUCUGCAUAUUUCCAACCGUAUCUCUUUCGAACGGGAGACGCCUAACUAGGUUACGUGACAUACGAACAUCAUACGGAUAGAGAGGGGUAGGAUGUCUCACCUUGCUAUCCUACAAAGUGACGACUCGAGGACAGUAAUGUAGCCUCUCCUUCAAAAAAAGAACAUACUACUAUCAAGUUAAAUUUUUGACAGCACCUCCCCUGCACGUGGAGGUUUCCAUAACCUGCAUCAAAUAAAACGGCACGAUGGCUGACAACCACAUCUACAGCACCAGAAUGGCACGAUGGCCGACUUCCACAUAAAGUUCUUAUACCUUAGAUUGCCAAGUCAAACAUCCUUUUCUAAUUUCUAAAACAAAAGCCCUCCCACCUCUCUAUCUUAUACUUUCCUAUUUACUAAUUGCUUUUGUAAUUUCUAAUUUCUAUUUCAUCCUACCACCUCUGUACCCUUUUCUCAUUUCUAAUUCCAAUUUUCUAACUUGAAGAGCAAAGAUUGAUUACUAGGAGGGGUGAGGGACGCCGGCCUAGAGAGGCGAGGGGACGUCCGGCGGCGGCGGGUGCGUCGGGGGUAGGAUGCCAGGGGCGGCUGCAGGGGCGCCGGGUUGGGGGCGGCCGGGAUCGAGGGCACCAGUAGCGGGGGCACCGGGCCGGGGGCGGCCGGCGGGGCGGGACGCCAGGGCCGGGGCGACGGGCGCCGGUGGCGAGGCCGCCCGGCCGGUGGUGGCCGGCGUGGCGCCUGGGCCGGGGGGGGGGGGCGGGCGGGGUGCGGCGCGGCGCGCCGGGGCAGGGCGCCGAGGCUGGGUGGUGGGGUACGGGGCGGCGGGCGGGGGGUGGGGGGAGGGUCGGCGGCGGGGCGCGGGGGCGGCCAGCGGCGACGGCGGAGGGCGUCGGUGGUGUUUCGGAAGUGAUACGGAGGGGGUAGAGAGAUUCGUUUUCGCGGCUGAGUGUUCGAGUCAGAAGGCCGUGCGGCUUAAGUCAGGUGGUUUGCCGAGUGCGCGCGAUCUGGCACUCGGCAAAGUCAGAAGUUUUGCCGAGUGUCAGAUCGCGGGCACUCGGCAACUGCAGCUUUUGUCGAGUGCCCUGGAUUCGGCACUCGGCAAAGUGAAGUUUUAAUUUUUUUUAAAAAAAUUUAAUCGGAACACGGGCGUGCCAGCGGGCCCGUGACAUACUUUGCCGAGUGUGUAGCAAAAACACUCGGCAAAAUAUUAUCUUUACCGAGUGUUUUCGCUAGGCACUCGGCAAAGUACACUUAUAUUUCAUGUACACUUUUUCAAUAACGUGUUUUACUAACCUUUUUCUGAUAUACUUGGGAAAAACCUUAUCAAAUUCACUCAACAAUGGAUAUAUGGUUUUUCUACUGACAUUAUUCCAUUAUUUCAUUCAGUUAUAGCUCAAAUUGAAUUUAUAUCUAUUAAAAAUCAAUAAUUGCAUUUAAUAAAUAAAAAAUACCAAACGGAUCUGAAAAAUUUCCAAAAUUUGACAUGAACCAAUCUAUGUUGUAUGUUGCCUGUACAAAAAGCUUUGAAGUCAAACCCCAAUUCAAGUGUCACUUGGACUCCAAAUCUUAUCGGAUCCUUUCUAACUUCUAUGAAUCCUUUCGGGAGAUGAGUCGGUUUGUAAGCAUCAUAUGUCAUAAAUUGGGCGAAACCUUCUCAAUUUUUUACCACAGCCUCCACAUAUAAUAUCAUGACACCUUGACAAAUCUUGUGAUUUUCAGACUUCGUUUGCUUUUUUUAGAAUUUAACAACCAUUCAACCACAUGUUCGUGAUCGUGUUUUCUAAAAAAAUGUUCAAAAUUUCUUUUCAUUUCCUGGUUGAGACCUCAAUCCGGAUUGAAUAAUAUGAAUAUGAUUUUUUCACUGAUUUUAAUCCAUUAUUUAAAUCACUUGCAGUUAAAUUUGACUUAAAUAAACAAAUUCCUAUUAAUGCUAUCAAUUCAUUAAAAAUAGCAAACAGAGAAAAAAUAGACCAACUUUUAAGAUGGAUUACCAAAUGUCAUAUGUGGGGAGUAGAAAAAGUGUGGAGAGCAGAGGUGGAAAAAAAAGUUUUGCCUUUGCCAAGUGCCUACACAAACACUCAACAAACUUUGCGGAGUGCCUAUUGAAAACACUCAGCGAACUUCUGAGUUUGCCGAGUGUCUGGAGGGAGCACUCGGCAACCUACUUAUUUGCCGAGUGUCCGCGUCGGACACUCAGCAAAGUACUAACGGCUGGCACACUCCCCUAACGGACGGCGCACGUGCAAGCCAUGUGCUGGAGAUUUAUCGAGUGUCAAAUCGUUGCCGAGUGUCGUGUGGAUGUUUGCCGAGUGUCUUAUUUGUGACACUCGGCAAAGCUAUUGUUUGCCGAGUGUAUUAUUUAUGCCGAGUGUCUUCCAGUAUACACUCGGCAAAUGAUGUCUUUGCCGAGUGCUCGACAUAAAGCACUCGGCAAAAAUUUUACACUCGGCAACAUUCCUGUUUCCGGUAGUGAGUGACCCGGGACUAAAGACCCCCGUUGUCUCUGAUUGCUUUAUUCCGGAUGGAUUUUCAGGAGAUUUGCUCCCUACCAAUAGGGACUAAAGGCAAGUUUUCCACUUAUAGCAAACCAGUUAGCCCAUUGUUGAUGGAACGCAUCACUAGAAACAGCUCGGGAUCCACUUGUCCAAUAAUCGAGAGGGCCUAUAUAUGGACCACGUGUGCGGAUCCCUAAUUAGGAAAAAAGAAUAAUGGAGUAGGACAUCUCCAUGCUCACCUAGUAGCCGCUGCUAGCUUGUGCGUGUGGAACACGAGUGCCGGCCCAGUUGGCGCUAAGACAUCGUACGUGCAUUAAGGCUACGAUCUCUUUCUUCUAACUCAUGCUUGUGCUAUUAUACAUUAUUGCAUGAUCAUCAAGAUAAGAUCGUAUAGUGACUGAGUGAGACAUGUAUGUACUAACAUGCAUUUAAGCCUCGAACUGUGUGUUGUUACGUGAGCUGCCUCCUCACCUCGCCUCUGAAUUAUUGAACCGUUUCCAACAGUGUUGGUCUCAAAUAAAUUUGACACCAAACAGAUUUAUGAAGAAGAGAGAAUAAUACUUGGAAUUGGAAAAAGUUUAUCUCUCUUUACAAUGGAGUAGGGCUCCCUUUUAUAGUGACCCAUAAGCCACUUUACAUUUGGAAAAUGUCCUUCCUCAACCACUACAUUAAUUCCUAGGAUAUGCUGUACAUAAAGGUCAUUUGAGGUAACGUGUACAAAUGAACUCUUCCACAUGGUCACGUUUCUCAUGCCUCCUGUUUUCCAACCUCGAGACAUCAUCUUCACGCCAAGUUGAUCAUCUAGCCUCGAGGCUCCAUCCACGAUCCAGAAUGAACGUCCAGGCUUGAGGCUCCUUCUUCGUUAAGCUUUGUUGAGAACUCAUAACCUCACAUAGUUCUCCUCCGAGUAUUGUUCCCGACUCAGAACACUCGAGGUUUAGCUCAGUUGGAGUUUAGCUAUUACUGUUGCUAGUCACCAGCCUCGAGCCCCUCCAGAAGCAAGGUGAUGCGAGGGUACGAGUUUUACUAUUAAAGGUGUUUCCAUAGAAUGUGCGAGGUUAAAGCACUUGCAGCAAAAGCGUGGAGCUGCUUUCAACCAGAGUGCAAUAAUGCAGCCGUGCCCAUCUUGGUCUUGGUCUCCGCCUGAACUAUAGCAGAUGCUGGCAGCGGUAGCAGGGUGGUCCAUUAUAUCUAUGGAUGGCAAUGGUCGGAUUCGGAUGGAAUCGAAUUCGAAUAGCACUUUUUACCACAUACUAAUUCAAAUCCGAAUUCGGAUUCGGAUGUUCUCGAAUGCGAAUGCAAAAUGGAUGGUUCGAAUUCGAAUACUUAGCGGAUUUUUGCAUAAUAUUAAUCGAAUAGAAUUCAUUAAAUUUAGCCAAGAAAUUAAAUUUUCUGAAAUUAAAUACUUUCCCUUCGCCCCAGCGGCGGCCUAACUCCCAGGACGGUGGCGUGCGGGGCCCGAGCAUCCCUGGCCUCUAGUGGCGUGGCGGGGCGGCAUCCAGCAGCAGCGGCGGGGCUCGGCCUCCGGUGGCGCGCGGCCAGCCCGACCUACCCGGUCAGAGGUGGCGCAGCGGUGCGCGGGCCUCCCCGACCAGAGCCGGUGGGGAGCGGUGCGCGGGGAGGACCUCCCCAGCCGGAGGUAGCAGGGCGCGACCUCCCCGGCCGGAGGUGGCUCCCUGUGGGGGCGCGGCCGUGACAGCUAGCGAGGCAAUAAUUGCUUCCGUACGCAGCAAUAAUUGCUUGUGCGACACCGUGUUAUUACUCUGGUACAGUACUCCCUCCGUUGCAGUACACUGGUCCAGGCGUCAGGACACUGCUCCUGCCCUCGUGGUUCACGUGCAUCAGGCCAGCAGACAAGCUAUGAUGUUGCCAACAGUGUUUGUUUGAACAUGGAGAUGUCAUUGUGAUUGUCAGGGACCCGACACCAUGCAUGCCGAUUUCAUAUUCUUAAUAUUUAUUUUUUUAAUGGUUGUUGAAACUAUAUAGUUACUCCAAUAUCACGUUUCCGAUUAUAAAAAUUAACAUAAAGAGAUCGGAAGGGAGAGCCCGCAUAAUGAAGCCGACGCGUAUAAUAAGCACUAGAGCCGGCAUUUAUACAAACGGGUACGCAUAGUAAAAACUAGAAUUUAUAAAUAAAUGAAGAUAUUCAAAUAUCUGGCUUACUUUUUUCAUUAAUUUUGCAUGAAUAAGGGAUGAUUCAUUAAUCAUUAUUGAACAAAUUGGCACACAUGCUUCGUGCCCGCGUUGUGAGCAUUAUGCGAUGCCACUGAGCUGCACCACCACGGUAGAGGGCCUGUUUGCGAUGCCACCGAGCUGCACCACCACGGCAGAGGGUCUGUUUGGGAAGGGGAAGUUAAAGUUUAACACCCCCCAUUUAACACCUUUUUAACAAAAUGGCUGCUAAACACUUGUGUUAAAAGAGUAGUGUUAAAAUUUAACACCUCUCUUUUCAUAAACACAUGGAGGGGGUGUUAAAAUUUGCUAAAUGUGUUAAAAGUGGUCCCCUCCCCACUUAUUCCUUGGUUGCCCCCCUCUCUCUCCUCCUCUCUCUCCUACCCGCCGCAUUUAAGAGCAUUAUUGAGGGGUAAUGCAGUCCUUUUCCAACAAAAGUGUUAAACUUUAACAACCCUUCCCAAACAUGCCACAAGCAACACCACCGGCUGACUGUGCUAGCGGGGAGCACCCUCACCGCCUGCCCGUGGGGACUUCUUCUGCCGGCCAUCGUGUCUUUGUAGGACCGCCGCGUGAGCCUAUGAGCCACCGGUGGCCGUGCGCCCAAGGGCCAUCACCAUGCCACCUGAGGAUGCUGUCUACCCGGUGCCGCGUGCCUCUGCUAGCUGCUUGCACCUGGGCCGCCGCUGGUCGCCUGCACAGCCACGCGUUACAGCCGCCCCCCUGCGCUGGGCCACCCCAUUUCGUGUUGGAAGAACUGCCACAGUCUCGCGCACUGGGGUUUUGCUAGUGACGACCAUAGCCUCCAAGAUCAAAUGAAAAAGUUGGUACUCAAAACAUACAUCCAUUAAUCUAGUCGUGCUAAUCCUUACCACCAAAUAAAAACUAGCAUGUGUUGUGUUUUUGUGACCCUAAACGAUCACAAAUGAAUAACUUAUGGGCGUUGCUAGCCUAUAAGUUAUGGGCGUUUGUGACCCUAGUCGCGCCGGGGUCUUGCUGGUGACAACCAUGGUCUUCGCGAUAAAGUAUUAAGUCUCAUCGAGUUCUACAAUUUUGAUAUAAAAUUUCUAUUCAUCCGAGAUCAAAUGAAAAACAAAUGAAAAAAUCCGAAGUAUUAGGCUUCAUCGAGCUCUACAAUUUUGAUAUAAAAUUUCUAUUCAUCCGAGAUCAAAUGAAAAAAUCCGAGAUCAAAUGAAAAGUUGGAACUCAAAACAUACAUCCAUUAAUCUUGAUAUAAAAUUUCUAUUCAUCCGACAUCAAAUGAAAAAGUUGGUACUCAAAAUAUACAUCCUUUAAUCUAGUCGUGCUAAUCCUUACCACCAAAUAAAAAAACUAGCAUGUGUUGUGUGUUUCUGACCGUAAACGAUCACAAAUGAAUAACUUAUGGGUGUUGCUAGCGUCCCGGACGCUAGCAUCGGACGCAUGAGCAGCCGUCCGAUCGGGUCCGACACCACUUCACGAUCUGUCUUAAAAAAAAGUCCCACCGAAACAUUGUUCCAUGUUGCAUGAAAUACCCCACUAUCCAUCGCCAGGUCUACAGCAAGCACCACCUUCCAAUCUGCUGCUCACCCAAGCUAAAUAGGGGCAUUAAAAUUGCAGAAAUAUGUCACAUAUCCUUGUCAAAUUAAACUAAAUCGCAACAUCCGAAAAUUUCUUACACAAAACCAUGAAACAUAUCGAUUAGAUAGGUGUAACAAGAUGGAAUAUGGUAUCCAACAUAUAGAUUCCGAAAAACAGAUGAAACAUUAUGUAACGAUUGUUGAAACAGUCGAGAAAUAUAGAUGUAACGAUUAAAAUUUAGAAAAGAAGCUUUAUGCAAAUUGCAAAAAGCUGAAAUAAGUGGUUGAAACAUUUCGAAUCACCAAAUGCCACAUUUGAAAUGGCUACAUGAAACAUCACGAAAUCAAUUGCAACAGUUGAAGAUGAAAACAUUCAAAUGCCUUGCCUUUCUCCAGAUUUGACCCUCCAAGCAUGAGUCCAGCCAUUUGCACAUUAGACCCUUGGGAGGAGCUCACCGGAGAACAACAAGACCGUGUUCUCCAACAAUUUUCUGAUCAAAUUGCAACAGACAAAACAAAGCAUUGCAACAUCUGGCAUCACGAGCUACAACAUCAACAAGUUAGGAUCAGGAGAAAGAGGGAAAACACAAGCCUAACAACCCCAAGACAAAACUGAUGUACUCAUCAUACAUCACGGCUUGCCGUGCACAGAGAUGAAGGCCGCCAAGCUCAAUCGAGACAGAGACGACGUGAUAGUGCUCCAGAUCGACGGUCCCCAUCAAUUGUUGCGUACACUGCCAAAAGCAAUGGAAGAAGAAGGGUCGUCCCUGCUCGACCUCCGUAGAUGAGCGCAGAUUGGGGGAAACCGUAUAGAGUGCCGCUGACAGCACAGGCGAGGGGGCUCAGGCUUGAUUCAGGGUGAGGGUAGCGGGUAGCAUGAGGAGACAGUCAGGUUUCAUAGGAGAGAGGCGGAGUAGAGAGCUCUGGUGACUCGGUGAGGAGGGUGCGGCACGGAGAAAGGUGUGUAGCUGAAGGAGCUACAUGGUUGGGGCGAGGCGAGCGUAGAGACUAGAGAGGGAAAAAAAGCAUGGGGAGGAGACGAUAUGUGGUUGAUGGUGCGGGCACGUGGUGAGCGCACCGUAUGAAAAUUUUGCUCGCGUCGGAUGACUGAUGUGAAGCAUUACCCAAUCUUAAUUAUCUCCCAUAAUCCAAAACUCACAAAAACAUCAAAAAUCCGCCGAGAAUAAAUUAAGUAAACCAUGCACACACAGAUAAUAAAAUUGCUAAUAAGGCCAGAGAUAAUACAUGAACAUAUUAGACUGUUCAUGACACAUAUCACGGUGGAUAGUGUCUGUGUCCUUAUUACAAGCAAUGAGAGAUGCUUGUCACCACACACACGCGCACAGAUGCAUGACAUACAUAUAGUUGAGACCAACAGAUGGAUCAACUAGAGGUCACCCCAUAUGGUGAACAAUUUAUUGGAGAUAAACAUUAACAUAACUUGGCCAUAGCUUGAAGCAUAGCAACAUAUGCCUAUGAAUGGCGUUCAUGCUAUCGUUUUAGGCUUGUCCAGCUUCUUUCAUCUUAGCAAGCACUUCCAUUUCUACCAUCUUAGCAGCAACUGUCAAAUUGAGAUAUGGAAAUCCCAUUAGCGCAUGAUUAAUUUUGCAGUGGAAAUAGAGUGCAAGAUAUCUUCAUGAUGUAAAUAACAUGCCUGAAGUUGUGAGAUGGGAAGUGAAGUCAACAAAUUACAUUAACGGAAAUGCAUGGAAGGCCACACAUACGUAUUAGUCCAUAAUACGCUACAAAGCUUGUAUGUACAUAUAGCAAAUUAAAUGCAUUAAUUGAAUAGAGUGAGUUUAGUGAAUUUACCAGAAUCGUCCAGAAAACAUGGGAAACAGCAAGUGUGCUUGCAGACUGUGUCGGAGCCACCCACACGAAUACAAAGCUGACAACAUGCUUGUGCCUCGUGGGAUACGCAGCAGCCGCACUGUGCCGCGGUGGCCGAGUUAACAUUGAGGCUCAAGAUGAACAGGCACAUGAUCACCAUCAAAGUGGUAGUCCUCUUUCCCUCCAUUGCCUCCUGUCGCUGCUACCUUCCUUGGUUACUAGUAAGUUUAUUGGUUUUGUGUUGAGAGGUGAUUCUUGCAUUGAAUGGACGUUGCCGCGGCUGCAAUUUAUAGGCAGCUGCGCUAUGUGAUGAUAUGGACAAGGUGCAAAUGGGUGGUCCUGAUAU